CGACAAGUGAAUGAACAUUUUAAAGCAAAAAUGAGGUCUCUAGGUGAAAGUAUGCUGAAGUUAUAAGGUCUAGAAGGUGGAAGAAAAAAAGGAAGAAUUGGAAGAUUUCCCCAUUGACUUCAAUGUUAAAAUUUUUUGCACAAAAAGUUAAAAAAAACAAAAAGUAUAAAUGUUAGAAAAGUGAAAAGUAAUAGCAAACGUGUCCUGAAGGAGUGGAAUAGUUUAAAGUUUGAACGGUUGAAAUCGCACAAACUGGGAAGGAGUUGAAAGCGGACGAAAAACGGCGGAAGAAUAAUAAUAAUAAUAAAGAAACGGGAGAAUAACAAUAAGUGGAAAUGCUUAAUCAGCAUUUCCACUUAAUAAUAAUAACUAGAAAAAUUGCAUUUCCUUGCAGAAAUUGCGUGGAAAUGCUGAGUGCUGAAAGCUGAAAAAGCAAUGCUAAACUGCUAAGAAAACAUGGAGAAAGGUAUAAAUGUUAAAGCUUUUGAAGGGGUGAAAAAGAAAUAUAAGUUGGAUAAUGGUUUAAUUGGUUGAAGGACAAAUAGUAUGAAUAUGCUCUAUAAAAGGAAAUUUGAUUCAUGCUGAAUGAGGCUAGAAAAAUGUCUAAAAUUGCACAAAGUUUGAAUGAAGAAGGAAAUUGCCUUAAAAGGCAGGAAGGUGAGAAGUGGCAUUAGUUUAAGUUUUAGUACUAGAAGUAGUAUGAUAAGAGGUCAAGUCGUGAUACUAGUAGUCGUGUCAGCAGUAGAAGUAGUUUGAGAAUAAAAGAAGUAUAAGUCAAAAUAGUAGAGAAAGUAGAAACAGUAGCAAUAGCAGUUGAAGUAGAGAAAGUAGAAAUAGGAGCAAUAGCAGUUGAAGUAGAGGGGAAAGUACUAGUUCAAUUGACAUUAGCAGUAGUUGUCGUACUUGAGGUAGGAUUUUGUUUGAAGGAUGGAGUAAUGCAUGAAUAUUAAAACUAAUUGAAAACAUGGAAAAUUUAAAUACUUAAAAAUCCUCAAGUAUCAGUUUGAAUGAGUUUAAAUUAGUUUGAAAAAUUAAAUGAUAAAUCAUCAAUGAGUGACUUAUAAAAGUGAAAAAUGUAAAUAAAUAAAAAUCCUGAAUACACCCCAUAAUGUCCUCAAUGAGCUUAAAUUUUAAAGCCCUGAAUGGUUUCUGUAGGUCAAAGGUCAUGUGAGGAGAUAGGGGCUGAAGUUUUUUCAAGCGCUCUAGGAAAGGGUUUUAAGUGUCAUCCCCAGUGCUAUGUGUACUGAGCCUGGCUUCAUGUGUCUCAUUUGGCCAUUAGAAGCAGCUUUCCAGUCAGCUGUGUGUCUCCAGGUGCACAAAUUGGUUGCCAUGGGGACCUUGGAUGCAUAACUUUAGCAGGAGAAAGAAGGCUUGAAGCUAAGGAAACAGGACUCCAAGUAGGCCCUGACGCUCAUCCUCUGUAUCUAUUCCUGAUAAGGAGCUUGUGAGAACACAAGACUCUGCUAAACACAUUAAUACAAUUUAUUAUCACAAUCCUCAAAACACCCCAUAAUAUCUUCAAUGAGCUGAAUUUUAGAAGCCCAGAAUGGUUUCUGUAGCUCAAAGUUUGUGGGUGGAGAUAGGUGGCGAAGCAGACACAUAUUAACUGUGUGUACAAGCAGCUGAACUGCAAGGUAGACCUCAUAAAGCAACAAGUACAAGAAUGUGUGUGUGUGUGUGUGUGUGUGUCGUUAAUGACUGCAUCCUAAACAGCUGUGAGAUCAAAGGCAAAUCACUGACCUACUGUUUGACUGAGAGGUGCUGAACUGCUGAGGAUUUGUAGCCUCUGAACUUCUUCACAUAGCGUGAUUUCCUUAAAUCCCAGAAUGAAAAUAAGAACAUCGUACGAAUCCUCCGCCCUUCAUGAACACAAUGAUGUGUUUUUCAUGUCUGUACUUCGAAAAAUGAGGCCACAACAGCGAGUUAAAAAAGUCUGAGCCUGAGCGAUGAUCCGGAUUUUCUUGGAGAAAAAUAACAUUACGGUCAAUGGGAGAGAUUUCCGCCUUCCUUGGACAGUUGGUCACCUGCUGGCCAAGGGGUACGAUUUAAUGAUUUGAAACCUCUUUUGUGAGAAGCAGGACACAUAUACCUCCAUUUUGAUGUAUUAUUUGUGUCAGUGGAGUGAGAUUUGUGGGCGUGGGAGCGAUAUAUUCGAGCGAGGUUCUGUCGAUCAGAGACGAGGUCUGCACUCUAGCUGAUGACAUCAUCACUCUAAACUCUCCAAUACACACCCAUUAUAAAGCUUGAAAUUUGCUGAAAACCACAAGUUGCUUAAAGCUAAAUUGUGGAAAAACUGUAAGAGAUAUCAAAAAACUGAGUACAACUGUAAUAGUCGACAAGUGAAUGAACAUUUUAAAGCAAAAAUGAGGUCUCUAGGUGAAAGUAUGCUGAAGUUAUAAGGUCUAGAAGGUGGAAGAAUAAAAGGAAGAAUUGGAAGAUUUCCCCAUUGACUUCAAUGUUAAAAUUUUUGCACAAAAAGUUAAAAAAAACAAAAAGUAUAAAUGUUAGAAAAGUGAAAAGUAAUAGCAAACGUGUCCUGAAGGAGUGGAAUAGUUUAAAGUUUGAAUGGUUGAAAUCGCACAAACUGGGAAGGAGUUGAAAGCGGACGAAAAACGGCGGAAGAAUAAUAAUAAUAACUAGAAAAAUUGCAUUUCCUUGCAGAAAAUGCGUGGAAAUGCUGAGUGCUGAAAGCUGAAAAAGCAAUGCAAAACUGCUAAUAAAACAUGGAGAAAUGUAUAAAUGUUAAAGCUGUCUAAGGGGUGUGAAAGAAAUGUAAGUUGGAUAAUUGAUUAAUUGGUUGAAGGACAAAUAGUAUGAAUAUGCUCUAUAAAAAGAAAUUUUAUUCAUGCUGAAAGAGGCUAGAAAAAUGUCUAAAAUUGCACAAAGUUUGAAUGAAGAAGGAAAUUGCCUUAAAAGGCAGGAAGGUGAGAAGUGCCAUAAGUUUAAUUUUUUAAGUAUUAGAAAGGUUUGAAUCAGUUUGAAUCAGUUCAAAUUAGUUUGAAAAAUUAAAUGAUAAAUCAUCACUGAGUGACUUUAAAAUGUGAAAAAUCUAAAUGUAUAUAAAUCCUAAAUACACCCCAUAAUGUCCUCAAUGAGCUCAAAUUUUAAAGCCCUGAAUGGUUUCUGUAGGUCAAAGGUCAUGUGAGGAGAUAGGGGCUGAAGUUUUUUCAAGCACUCUAGUAAAGGGUUUUAAGUGUCAUCCCCAGUGCUAUGUGUGCUGAGCCUGGCUUCAUGUGUCUCAUAUGGCCAUUAGAAGCAGCUUUCCAGUCAGCUGUGUGUCUCCAGGUGCACUAAUUGGUUGCCAUGGGGACCUUGGAUGCAUAACUAUAGCAGGAGAAAGAAGGCUUGAAGCUAAGGAAACAGGACUCCAAGUAGGCCCUGACGCUCAUCCUCUGUAUCUAUUCCUGAUAAGGAGCUUGUGAGAACACAAGACUCUGCUAAACACAUUAAUACAAUUUAUUAUCACAAUCCUCAAAACACCCCAUAAUAUCUUCAAUGAGCUGAAUUUUUGAAGCCCAGAAUGGUUUCUGUAGCUCAAAGUUUGUGGGUGGAGAUAGGUGGCGAAGCAGACACAUAUUAACUGUGUGUACAAGCAGCUGAACUGCAAGGUAGACCUCAUAAAGCAACAAGUACAAGAAUGUGUGUGUGUGUGUGUGUGUGUGUGUGUGUGUCUCGUUAAUGACUGCAUCCUAAACAGCUGUGAGAUCAAAGGCAAAUCACUGACCUACUGUUUGAAUGAGAAGCAGCUGAACUGCAGAGGAUUUAGAGGCUCUAAACUUCUUCACAUAGCGUGAUUUCCUUAAGUCACAGAAUGAAAAUAAGAACAUCGUACGAAUCCUCCGCCCUUCAUGAACACAAUGAUGUAUUUUUCAUGUCUGUACUCCGACAAAUGUGGCCACAACAGCGAGUUAAAAAAGUCUGAGCCUGAGCGAUGAUCCGGAUUUUCUUGGAGAAAAAUAACAUUAUGGUCAAUGGGAGAGAUUUCCGCCUUCUUUGGACAGUUGGUCACCUGCUGGCCAAGGGGUACGAUUUAAUGAUUUGAAACCUCUUUUGUGAGAAGCAGGACACAUAUACCUCCAUUUUGAUGUAUUAUUUGUGUCAGUGGAGUGAGAUUUGUGGGCGUGGGAGCGAUAUAUUCGAGCGAGGUUCUGUCGAUCAGAGACGAGGUCUGCACUCUAGCUGAUGACAUCAUCACUCUAAACUCUCCAAUACACACCCAUUAUAAAGCUUGAAAUUUGCUGAAAACCACAAGUUGCUUAAAGCUAAAUUGUGGAAAAACUGUAAGAGAUAUCAAAAAACUGAGUACAACUUUAAUAGUCGACAAGUGAAUGAACAUUUUAAAGCAAAAAUGAGGUCUCUAGGUGAAAGUAUGCUGAAGUUAUAAGGUCUAGAAGGUGGAAGAAUAAAAGGAAGAAUUGGAAGAUUUCCCCAUUGACUUCAAUGUUAAAAUUUUUGCACAAAAAGUUAAAAAAAACAAAAAGUAUAAAUGUUAGAAAAGUGAAAAGUAAUAGCAAACGUGUCCUGAAGGAGUGGAAUAGUUUAAAGUUUGAACGGUUGAAAUCGGACAAACUGGGAAGGAGUUGAAAGCGGACGAAAAACGGCGGAAGAAUAAUAAUAAUAAUAAUAAUAAUAAUAAUAAAGAAACGGGAGAAUAACAAUAAGUGGAAAUGCCUAUCAGCAUUUCCACUUAACUAGAAAAAUUGCAUUUCCUUGCAGAAAAUGCGUGGAAAUGCUGAGUGCUGAAAGCUGAAAAAGCAAUGCUAAACUGCUAAUAAAACAUGGAGAAAGGUAUAAAUGUUAAAGCUGUUGAAGGGGUGAACAGAAAUAUAAGUUGGAUAAUUGAUUAAUUGGUUGAAGGACAAAUAGUAUGAAUAUGCUCUAUAAAAGGAAAUUUUAUUCAUGCUGAAAGAGGCUAGAAAAAUGUCUAAAAUUGCACAAAGUUUGAAUGAAGAAGGAAAUUGCCUUAAAAGGCAGGAAGGUGAGAAGUGGCAUAAGUUUAAUUUUUUAAGUAUUAGAAAGGUUUGAAUCAGUUUGAAUGAGUUUAAAUUAGUUUGAAAAAUUAAAUGAUAAAUCAUCACUGAGUGACUUUAAAAUGUGAAAAAUUUAAAUGAAUAUAAAUCCUAAAUACACCCCAUAAUGUCCUCAAUGAGCUCAAAUUUUAAAGCCCUGAAUGGUUUCUGUAGGUCAAAGGUCAUGUGAGGAGAUAGGGGCUGAAGUUUUUUCAAGCGCUCUAGGAAAGGGUUUUAAGUGUCAUCCCCAGUGCUAUGUGUACUGAGCCUGGCUUCAUGUGUCUCAUAUGGCCAUUAGAAGCAGCUUUCCAGUCAGCUGUGUGUCUCCAGGUGCACAAAUUGGUUGCCAUGGGGACCUUGGAUGCAUAACUAUAGCAGGAGAAAGAAGGCUUGAAGCUAAGGAAACAGGACUCCAAGUAGGCCCUGACGCUCAUCCUCUGUAUCUAUUCCUGAUAAGGAGCUUGUGAGAACACAAGACUCUGCUGAACACAUUAAUACAAUUUAUUAUCACAAUCCUCAAAACACCCCAUAAUAUCUUCAAUGAGCUGAAUUUUAGAAGCCCAGAAUGGUUUCUGUAGCUCAAAGUUUGUGGGUGGAGAUAGGUGGUGAAGCAGACACAUAUUAACUGUGUGUACAAGCAGCUGAACUGCAAGGUAGACCUCAUAAAGCAACAAGUACAAGAAUGUGUGUGUGUGUGUGUGUGUGUGUGUCGUUAAUGACUGCAUCCUAAACAGCUGUGAGAUCAAAGGCAAAUCACUGACCUACUGUUUGAAUGAGAAGCAGCUGAACUGCAGAGGAUUUAGAGGCUCUAAACUUCUUCACAUAGCGUGAUUUCCUUAAGUCCCAGAAUGAAAAUAAGAACAUCGUACGAAUCCUCCGCCCUUCAUGAACACAAUGAUGUCUUUUUCAUGUCUGUACUUCGAAAAAUGAGGCCACAACAGCGAGUUAAAAAAGUCUGAGCCUGAGCGAUGAUCCGGAUUUUCUUGGAGAAAAAUAACAUUAUGGUCAAUGGGAGAGAUUUCCGCCUUUUUUGGACAGUUGGUCACCUGCUGGCCAAGGGGUAGGAUUUAAUGAUUUGAAACCUCUUUUGUGAGAAGCAGGACACAUAUACCUCCAUUUUGAUGUAUUAUUUGUGUCAGUGGAGUGAGAUUUGUGGGCGUGGGAGCGAUAUAUUCGAGCGAGGUUCUGUCGAUCAGAGACGAGGUCUGCACUCUAGCUGAUGACAUCAUCACUCUAAACUCUCCAAUACACACCCAUUAUAAAGCUUGAAAUUUGCUGAAAACCACAAGUUGCUUAAAGCUAAAUUGUGGAAAAACUGUAAGAGAUAUCAAAAAACUGAGUACAACUAUAAUAGUCGACAAGUGAAUGAACAUUUUAAAGCAAAAAUGAGGUCUCUAGGUGAAAGUAUGCUGAAGUUAUAAGGUCUAGAAGGUGGAAGAAUAAAAGGAAGAAUUGGAAGAUUUCCCCAUUGACUUCAAUGUUAAAAUUUUUGCACAAAAAGUUAAAAAAAACAAAAAGUAUAAAUGUUAGAAAAGUGAAAAGUAAUAGCAAACGUGUCCUGAAGGAGUGGAAUAGUUUAAAGUUUGAACGGUUGAAAUCGCACAAACUGGGAAGGAGUUGAAAGCGGACGAAAAACGGCGGAAGAAUAAUAAUAAUAAUAAUAAUAAUAAUAAUAAAGAAACGGGAGAAUAACAAUAAGUGGAAAUGCCUAUCAGCAUUUCCACUUAACUAGAAAAAUUGCAUUUCCUUGCAGAAAAUGCGUGGAAAUGCUGAGUGCUGAAAGCUGAAAAAGCAAUGCUAAACUGCUAAUAAAAUGUUGAGAAAGGUUUAAAUGUUAAAGCUGUUGAAGGGGUGAAAAAGAAAUAUAAGUUGGAUAAUGGUUUAAUUGGUUGAAGGACAAAUAGUAUGAAUAUGCUCUAUAAAAGGAAAUUUUAUUCAUGCUGAAAGAGGCUAGAAAAAUGUCUAAAAUUGCACAAAGUUUGAAUGAGGAAGGAAAUUGCCUUAAAAGGCAGGAAGGUGAGAAGUGGCAUAAGUUUAAGUUGUAGUACUAGAAGUAGUAUGAUAAGAGGUCAAGUCGUUAUACUAGUAGUCAUGUAAGCAGUAGAAGUAGUUUGAGAAUAAAAGAAGUAUAAGUCAAAGCAGUAAAGAAAGUAGAAAUAGUAGCGAUAGCAGCAGUAGAGAAAGUAGAAAUAGGAGCAAUAGCAGUUGAAGUAGAGGGGAAAGUACUAGUUUAAUUGACAUUAGCAGUAGUUGUAGCUCUGGAGGUAGGAUUUUGUUUGAAGGAUGGAGUAAUGCAUAAAUAUUAAAACUAAUUUAAAACAUGGAAAAUUUAAAUAAUUAAAAAUCCUCAAGUAUCAGAAAGUUUUAAAGUAUUAGAAAGGUUUGAAUCAGUUUGAAUGAGUUAAAAUUAGUUUGAGAAAUUAAAUGAUAAAUCAUCACUGAGUGACUUUAAAAUGUGAAAAAUUUAAAUGACUAUAAAUCCUAAAUACACCCCAUAAUGUCCUCAAUGAGCUUAAAUUUUAAAGCCCUGAAUGGUUUCUGUAGGUCAAAGGUCAUGUGAGGAGAUAGGGGCUGAAGUUUUUUCAAGCGCUCUAGGAAAGGGUUGUAAGUGUCAUCCCCAGUGCUAUGUGUACUGAGCCUGGUUUCAUGUGUCUCAUAUGGCUAUUAGAAGAAGCUUUCAAGUCAGCUGUGUGUCUCCAGGUGCACUAAUUGGUUGCCAUGGGGACCUUGGAUGCAUAACUAUAGCAGGAGAAAGAAGGCUUGAAGCUAAGGAAACAGGACUCCAAGUAGGCCCUGAAACUCAUCCUCUGUAUAUAUUCAUGAUAAGGAGCUUGUGAGAACACAAGACUCUGCUGAACACAUUAAUACAAUUUAUUAUCACAAUCCUCAAAACACCCCAUAAUAUCUUCAAUGAGCUGAAUUUUUCAAGCCCAGAAUGGUUUCUGUAGCUCAAAGUUUGUGGGUGGAGAUAGGUGGUGAAGCAGACACACAUUAUCUGUGUGUACAAGCAGGUGAACUGCAAGGUAGACCUGACAAUGCAACAAGUACAAGAAUGUGUGUGUGUGUGUGUGUGUGUCUCAUUAAUGACUGCAUCCCUAACAGCUGUGAGAUCAAAGGCAAAUCACUGACCUACUGUUUGAAUGAGAAGCAGCUGAACAGCAGAGGUUUUGAAGCCUGUGAACUUCUUCACAUAGCACGAUUUCCUUAAGUCCCAGAAUGAAAAUAAGAACAUCGUACGAAUCCUCCGUCCUUCAUGAACACAAUGAUGUGUUUUUCAUGUCUGUACUCCGAAAAAUGUGGCCACAACAGCGAGUUAAAAAAGUCUGAGCCUGAGUAACGAUAAGGAUUUUCUUGGAGAAGAAAUACAUUAGGGCCAAUGGGGAGAUAUUUGCGCUUAUUUGGACAGUUGGUCACCUGCUGGCCAAGGGGUACGAUUUAAUGAUUUGAAAACUCUUUUGUGAGAAGCAGGACACAUAUACCUCCAUUUUGAUGUAUUAUUUGUGUCAGUGGAGUGAGAUUUGUGGGCGUGGGAGCGAUAUAUUCGAGCGAGGUUCUGUCGAUCAGAGACGAGGUCUGCACUCUAGCUGAUGACAUCAUCACUCUAAACUCUCCAAUACACACCCAUUAUAAAGCCUGAAAUUUGCUGAAAACCACAAGUUGCUUAAAGCUAAAUUGUGGAAAAACUGUAAAAGAUAUCAAAAAACUGAGUACAACUAUAAUAGUCGACAAGUGAAUGAACAUUUUAAAGCAAAAAUGAGGUCUCUAGAUGAAAGUAUGCUGAAGUUAUAAGGUCUAGAAGGUGGAAGAAUGAAAGGAAGAAGUUGAAGAUUUCCCCAUUGACUUCAAUGUUAAAAUUUUUGCACAAAAAGUUAAAAAAAACAAAAAGUAUAAAGGGUAGAAAGAAAAAAAAUAGACGCCAUCAUGUCCUGAAGGAGUGGAAUAGUUUAAAGUUUGAACGGUUGAAAUCGGACAAAGUUUGAAGGAGGAGAAGCGGUCCAAAAAAGGGACGGAAGAAUAAUAAUAAUAACUAGAAAAAUUGCAUUUCCUUGCAGAAAAUGCGUGGAAAUGCUGAGUGCUGAAAGCUGAAAAAGCAAUGCUAAACUGCUAAUAAAACAUGGAGAAAGGUAUAAAUGUUAAAGCUGUUGAAGGGGUGAAAAAGAAAUAUAAGUUGGAUAACUGUUUAAUUGGUUGAAGGACAAAUAGUAUGACUAUGCUCUAUAAAUGGAAAUUUUAUUCAUGCUGAAAGAGGCUAGAAAAAUGUCGAAAAUUGCACAAAGUUUGAAUGAAGAAGGAAACUGCCUUAAAAGGCAGGAAGGUGAGAAGUGGCAUAAGUUUAAGUUGUAGUACUAGAAGUAGUAUGAUAAGAGGUCAAGUCGUGAUACUAGUAGUCAUGUCAGCAGUAGAAGUAGAUUGAGAAUAAAAGAAGUAUAAGUCAAAGUAGUAAAGAAAGUAGAAAUAGGAGCAAUAGCAGUUGAAGUAGAGGGGAAAGUACUAGUUUAAUUGACAUUAGCAGUAGUUGUCGUACUUGAGGUAGGAUUUUUUUUGAAGGAUGGAGUAAUGCAUAAAUAUUAAAACUAAUUUAAACAUGGAAAAUUUAAAUAAUUAAAUUUCACAAGUAUCAGAAAGUUUUGAAGUAUUAGAAAGGUUUGAAUCAGUUUGAAUGAGUUUAAAUUAGUUUGAAAAAUUAAAUGAUAAAUCAUCACUGAGUGACUUUAAAAUGUGAAAAAUUUAAAUGAAAAUAAAUCCUAAAUACACCCAAUAAUGUCCUCAAUGAGCUUAAAUUUCAAAGCCCUGAAUGGUUUCUGUAGGUCAAAGGUCAUGUGAGGAGAUAGGGGCUGAAGUUUUUUCAAGCGCUCUAGGAAAGGGUUUUAAAUGUCAUCCCCAGUGUUAUGUGUACUGAGCCUGGCUUCAUGUGUCUCAUAUGGCCAUUAGAAGCAGCUUUUCAGUCAGCUGUGUGUCUCCAGGUGCACAAAUUGGUUGCCAUGGGGACCUUGGAUGCAUAACUAUAGCAGGAGAAAGAAGGCUUGAAGCUAAGGAAACAGGACUCCAAGUAGGCCCUGAUGCUCAUCCUCUGUAUAAAUUCAUGAUAAGGAGCUUGUGAGAACACAAGACUCUGCUGAACACAUUAAUACAAUUUAUUAUCACAAUCCUCAAAACACCCCAUAAUAUCUUCAAUGAGCUGAAUUUUAGAAGCCCAGAAUGGUUUCUGUAGCUCAAAGUUUGUGGGUGGAGAUAGGUGGUGAAGCAGACACAUAUUAACUGUGUAUACAAGCAGCUGAACUGCAAGGUAGACCUGACAGCAAAAAGUACAAGAAUCUGUGUGUGUGUGUGUGUGUGUGUGUGUGUGUGUGUGUGUGUGUGUCUCGUUAAUGAUUGCAUCCUAAACAGCUGUGAGAUCAAAGCAUUAACUAACCUAUUGUUUGAAUGGAGAAGCUGCCGAACUGCAGUGAAUUUAGGGUUCUGAACUUCUUCACAUAGCACGAUUUCCUUAAAUCCCAGAAUGAAAAUAAGAACAUCGUACGAAUCCUCCAUCCUUCAUGAACACAAUGAUCUGUUUUUCAUGUCUGUACUCCAAAAAAUGUGGCCACAACAGCGAGUUAAAAAAGUCUGAGCCUGAGGGACGAUAAGGAUUUUCUUGGAGAAAAAAUACAUUAGGGCCAAUGGGGAGAGAUUUGCGCCUAUUUGGACAGUUGGUCACCUGCUGGCCAAGGGGUACGAGUUAAUGAUUUGAAACCUCUUUUUUGAGAAGCAGGACACAUAUACCUCCAUUUUGAUGUAUUUUUUAUGGCUGUGGAGUGAGAUUUGUGGGCGUGGGAGCGAUAUAUUCGAGCGAGGUUCUGUCGAUCAGAGACGAGGUCUGCACUCUAGCUUUUCAAAUCAUCACUCUAGCCUCUCCAAUACACCCCCAUUAUAAAGCCUGAAAUUUGCUGAAAACCACAAGUUGCAUAAAGCUAAAUUGUGGAAAAACUGUAAAAGAUAGCAAAAAAAGGUUAAUACAACAUCAAUAGUCGACAAGACAAUGAACAUUUUAAAGCAAAAAUUAGGUCUCUAGGUGAAAGUAUGCUGAAGUUAUAAGGCAUAGAAAGUGGACGAAUAACAGGAAGAAUUGGAACAUUUCCCCAUUCAUUUCUAUGGGAAAAAAAGUUUGGCACAAAAAGUGAAAAAUAAUAAAAAGUAUAAAGGGUAGAAAAGAGAAAAGUAAUAGCCAUCAUGUCCUGAUAGAGCGGAAUAGUUUAAAGUUUGAACGGUUGAAAUCGGACAAAGUUUGAAGGAGGAGAAGCGGUCCAAAGAAACGUAUGGGGAGAGUGUUAAGUAUAACUAGAAAAAUUGCAUUUCCUUGCAGAAAAUGCGUGGAAAUGCUGAGUGCUGAAAGCUGAAAAAGCAAUGCUAAACUGCUAAUAAAACAUGGAGAAAGGUAUAAAUGUUAAAGCUGUUGAAGGGGUGAAAAAGAAGUAUAGUAAGUAAGGACAAAUAGUAUGAAUAUGCUCUAUAAAAGGAAAUUUGAUUCAUGCUUAAAGAGGCUAGAAAAAUGUCUAAAAUUGCACAAAGUUCGAUUGAAGAAGGAAAUUGCCUUAAAAGGCAGGAAGGUGAGAAGUGGCAUAAGUUUAAGUUGUAGUACUAGAAGUAGUAUGAUAAGAAGUCAAGUCGUGAUACUAGUAGUCAUGUCAGCAGUAGAAGUAGUUUGAGAAUAAAAGAACUAUAGCAAUAGCAGUUGAAGUAGAGAAAGUAGAAAUAGGAGCAAUAGCAGUUGAAGUAGAGGGGAAAGUACUAGUUAAAUUGACAUUAGCAGUAGUUGUCGUACUUGAGGUAGGAUUUUGUUUGAAGGAUGGAGUAAUGCAUGAAUAUUAAAACUAAUUUAAAACAUGGAAAAUUUAAAUACUUAAAAAUCCUCAAGUAUCAGUUUGAAUGAGUUUAAAUUAGUUUGAAAAAUUAAAUGAUAAAUCAUCAAUGAGUGACUUAUAAAAGUGAAAAAUGUAAAUGAAUAUAAAUCCUGAAUACACCCCAUAAUGUCCUCAAUGAGCUUAAAUUUUAAAGCCCUGAAUGGUUUCUGUAGGUCAAAGGUCAUGUGAGGAGAUAGGGGCUGAAGUUUUUUCAAGCGCUCUAGGAAAGGGUUUUAAGUGUCAUCCCCAGUGCUAUGUGUACUGAGCCUGGCUUCAUGUGUCUCAUAUGGCCAUUAGAAGCAGCUUUCCAGUCAGCUGUGUGUCUCCAGGUGCACAAAUUGGUUGCCAUGGGGACCUUGGAUGCAUAACUAUAGCAGGAGAAAGAAGGCUUGAAGCUAAGGAAACAGGACUCCAAGUAGGCCCUGACGCUCAUCCUCUGUAUAUAUUCAUGAUAAGGAGCUUGUGAGAACACAAGACUCUGCUGAACACAUUAAUACAAUUUAUUAUCACAAUCCUCAAAACACCCCAUAAUAUCUUCAAUGAGCUGAAUUUUUCAAGCCCAGAAUGGUUUCUGUAGCUCAAAGUUUGUGGGUGGAGAUAGGUGGUGAAGCAGACACAUAUUAACUGUGUGUACAAGCAGCUGAACUGCAAGGUAGACCUGACAAUGCAACAAGUACAAGAAUGUGUGUGUGUGUGUGUGUGUGUGUGUGUGUGUGUGUGUGUGUGUGUGUGUGUGUGUCUCGUUAAUGACUGCAUCCUAAACAGCUGUGAGAUCAAAGGCAAAUCACUGACCUACUGUUUGACUGAGAGGUGCUGAACUGCUGAGGAUUUAUAGCCUCUGAACUUCUUCACAUAGCGUGAUUUCCUUAAGUCCCAGAAUGAAAAUAAGAACAUCGUACGAAUCCUCCGCCCUUCAUGAACACAAUGAUGUGUUUUUCAUGUCUGUACUCCGAAAAAUGUGGCCACAACAGCGAGUUAAAAAAGUCUGAGCCUGAGUGGGGAUAAGGAUUUUCUUGGAGAAGAAAUACAUUAGGUCUAAUGGGGAGAGAUUUCCGCCUAUUUGGACAGUUGGUCACCUGCUGGCCAAGGAGUACCAUUUAAUGAUUCGAAACCUCUUUUGUAAGAAGCAGGACACAUAUACCUCCAUUUUGAUGUAUUUUUUAUGGCUGUGGAGUGAGAUUUGUGGGCGUGGGAGCGAUAUAUUUGAGCGAGGUUCUGUCGAUCAGAGACGAGGUCUGCACUCUAGCUUUUCAAAUCAUCACUCUAGCCUCUCCAAUACACCCCCAUUAUAAAGCCUGAAAAUUGCUGAAAACCACGAGGUGCUUCAAGCUAAAUUGGGGGAAAACUGUAGAAGAUAGCACAAAAAAGUUAAUACAACAUCAAUAGUCGACAAGUGAAUGAACAUUUUAAAGCAAAAAUGAGGUCUCUAGGUGAAAGUAUGCUGAAGUUAUAAGGCUUAGAAGGUGGAAGAAGAAAAAGAAGAAUUGGAAGAUUUCCCCAUUCAUUUCUAUGGGAAAAAAAGUUUGAGACAAAAAGUGAAAAAUAAUAAAAAGUAUAAAGGGUAGAAAAGAGAAAAGUAAUAGCCAUCAUGUCCCGAUGGAGUGUAAUAGUUUAAAGUUUGAACGGUUGAAAUCGGACAAAGUUUGAAGGAGGAGAAGCGGUCCAAAGAAACGUAUGGGGAGAGUGUUAAGUAUAAUACUAGAAAAAUUGCAUUUCCUUGCAGAAAAUGCGUGGAAAUGCUGAGUGCUGAAAGCUGAAAAAGCAAUGCUAAACUGCUAAUAAAACAUGGAGAAAGGUAUAAAUGUUAAAGCUGUUGAAGGGGUGAACAGAAAUAUAAGUUGGAUAAUUGAUUAAUUGGUUGAAGGACAAAUAGUAUGAAUAUGCUCUAUAAAAGGAAAUUUUAUUCAUGCUGAAAGAGGCUAGAAAAAUGUCGAAAAUUGCACAAAGUUUUAAUGAAGAAGGAAAUUGCCUUAAAAGGCAGGAAGGUGAGAAGUGGCAUAAGAUUCAGUUGUAGUACUAGAAGUAGUAUGAUAAGAAGUCAAGUCGUGAUACUAGUAGUCAUGUCAGCAGUAGAAGUAGAUUGAGAAUAAAAGAAGUAUAAGUCAAAGUAGUAAAGAAAGUAGAAAUAGGAGCAAUAGCAGUUGAAGUAGAGGGGAAAGUUCUAGUUUAAUUGACAUUAGCAGUAGUUGUCGUACUUGAGGUAGGAUUUUGUUUGAAUGAUGGAGUAAUGCAUAAAUAUUAAAACUAAUUUAAAACAGGGAAAAUUUAAAUUAUCAAAAGUCCUCAAGUAUCAGAAAGUUUUGAAGUAUUAGAAAGGUUUGAAUCAGUUUGAAUGAGUUUAAAUUAGUUUGAAAAAUUAAAUGAUAAAUCAUCACUGAGUGACUUUUAAAAUGUGAAAAAUUUAAAUGAAUAACAAUCCUAAAUACACCCAAUAAUGUCCUCAAUGAGCUUAAAUUUCAAAGCCCUGAAUGGUUUCUGUAGGUCAAAGGUCAUGUGAGGAGAUAGGGGCUGAAGUUUUUUCCAACGCUCUAGGAAAGGGUUUUAAGUGUCAUCCCAAUUGCUAUGUGUACUGAGCCUGGCUUCAUGUGUCUCAUAUGGCCACUAGAAGCAGCUUUCCAGUCAGCUGUGUGUCUCCAGGUGCACAAAUUGGUUGCCAUGGGGACCUUGGAUGCAUAACUAUAGCAGGAGAAAGAAGGCUUGAAGCUAAAGAAACAGGACUCCAAGUAGGCCCUGACGCUCACCCUCUGUAUAUAUUCAUAAGGAGCUUGUGAGAACACAAGACUCUGCUGAACACAUUAAUACAAUUUAUUAUCACAAUCCUCAAAACACCCCAUAAUAUCUUCAAUGAGCUGAAUUUUUGAAGCCCAGAAUGGUUUCUGUAGCUCAAAGUUUGUGGGUGGAGAUAGGUGGUGAAGCAGACACAUAUUAACUGUGUGUACAAGCAGCUGAACUGCAAGGUGGACCUCAAAAAGCAACAAGUACAAGAAUGUGUGUGUGUGUGUGUGUGUGUGUGUGUGUGUGUGUGUGUGUGUGUGUGUGUGUGUGUGUGUGUGUAUGUGUGUCUCGUUAAUGAUUGCAUCCUAAACAGCUGUGAGAUCAAAGGCAAAUCACUAACCAACUGUUUGACUGAGAGGUGCUGAACUGCAGUGAAUUUCAGCCUGUGAACUUCUUCACAUAGCGUGAUUUCCUUAAGUCCCAGAAUGAAAAUAAGAACAUCGUACGAAUCCUCCGUCCUUCAUGAACACAAUGAUGUGUUUUUCAUGUCUGUACUUCGAAAAAUGAGGCCACAACAGCGAGUUAAAAAAGUCUGAGCCUGAGCGAUGAUCCGGAUUUUCCUGGAGAAAAAUAACAUUAUGGUCAAUGGGAGAGAUUUCCGCCUUUUUUGGACAGUUGGUCACCUGCUGGCCAAGGGGUACGAUUUAAUGAUUUGAAACCUCUUUUGUGAGAAGCAGGACACAUAUACCUCCAUUUUGAUGUAUUAUUUGUGUCAGUGGAGUGAGAUUUGUGGGCGUGGGAGCGAUAUAUUCGAGCGAGGUUCUGUCGAUCAGAGACGAGGUCUGCACUCUAGCUGAUGACAUCAUCACUCUAAACUCUCCAAUACACACCCAUUAUAAAGCUUGAAAUUUGCUGAAAACCACAAGUUGCUUAAAGCUAAAUUGUGGAAAAACUGUAAAAGAUAUCAAAAAACUGAGUACAACUUUAAUAGUCGACAAGUGAAUGAACAUUUUAAAGCAAAAAUUAGGUCUCUAGGUGAAAGUAUGCUGAAGUUAUAAGGUCUAGAAGGUGGAAGAGGAAAAGGUAGAUUUUAAGAUUUCCCCAUUCAUUUUUAAUGGUACAAAUUUUGCACAAAAAGUUAAAAAAAACAAAAAGUAUAAAGGGUAGAAAGGAAAAAAAUAGACGCCAUAAUGUCCUGAAUGAGUGGAAUAGUUUAAAGUUUGAACGGUUGAAAUCGGACAAAGUUUGAAGGAGGAGAAGCGGUCCAAAAAUCGGCGGAAGAAUAAUAAUAAGUUUAAUAAAGAAACAGGAGAAUAACAAUAAGUGGAAAUGCUUAAUCAGCAUUUCCACUUAACUAGAAAAAUUGCAUUUCCUUGCAGAAAAUGCGUGGAAAUGCUGAGUGCUGAAAGCUGAAAAAGCAAUGCUAAACUGCUAAUAAAACAUGGAGAAAGGUAUAAAUGUUAAAGCGUUUGAAGGGGUGAAAAAGAAAUGUAAGUUGGAUAAUUGAUUAAUUGGUUGAAGGACAAAUAGUAUGAAUAUGCUCUAUAAAAGGAAAUUUUAUUCAUGCUGAAAGAGGCUAGAAAAAUGUCUAAAAUUGCACAAAGUUUGAAUGAAGAAGGAAACUGCCUUAAAAGGCAGGAAGUUGAGAAGUGGCAUAAGUUUAAGUUGUAGUACUAGAAGUAGUAUAGGAGGUCAAGUCGUGAUACUAGUAGUCAUGUCAGCAGUAGAAGUAGUUUGAGAAUAAAAGAAGUAUAAGUCACAGUAGUAGAGAAGGUAGAAAUAGGAGCAAUAGCAGUUGAAGUAGAGAAAGUAGAAAAAGGAGCAAUAGCAGUUGAAGUAGAGGGGAAAGUACUAGUUCAAUUGACAUUAGCAGUAGUGGUCGUACUUGAGGUAGGAUUUUGUUUGAAGGAUGGAGUAAUGCAUAAAUAUUAAAACUUAUUUAAAACAGGGAAAAUUUAAAUAAUCAAAAAUCCUCAAGUAUCAGAAAUUUUUAAAGUAUUAGAAAGGUUUGAAUCAGUUUGAAUGAGUUUAAAUUAGUUUGAAAAAUUAAAUGAUAAAUCAUCACUGAGUGACUUUUAAAAGUGAAAAAUUUAAAUGAAUCCUGAAUACACCCCAUAAUGUCCUCAAUGAGUUUAAAUUUUAAAGCCCUGAAUGGUUUCUGUAGGUCAAAGGUCAGGUGAGGAGAUAGGAGCUGAAGUUUUUUCAAGCGCUCUAGAAAAGGGUUUUAAGUGUCAUCCCCAGUGCUAUGUGUACUGAGCCUGGCUUCAUAUGUCUCAUAUGGCCAUUAAAAGCAGCUUUCUAGUCAGCUGUGUGUCUCCAGGUGCACAAAUUGGUUGCCAUGGGGACCUUGGAUGCAUAACUAUAGCAGGAGAAAGAAGGCUUGAAGCUAAGGAAACAGGACUCCAAGUAGGCCCUGACGCUCAUCCUCUGUAUAUAUUCAUGAUAAGGAGCUUGUGAGAACCACAAAAACUGCUGAACACAUUAAUACAAUUUAUUAUCAAAAUCCUCAAAACACCCCAAAAUGUCCUCAAUGAGCUGAAUUUUUCAAGCCCAGAAUGGUUUCUGUAGCUCAAAGUUUGUGGGUGGAGAUAGGUGGUGAAGCAGACACAUAUUAUCUGUGUGUACAAGCAGGUGAACUGCAAGGUAGACCUGACAAUGCAACAAGUACAAGAAUGUGUGUGUGUGUGUGUGUGUGUGUGUGUGUCUCAUUAAUGACUGCAUCCUAAACAGCUGUGAGAUCAAAGGCAAAUCACUGACCUACUGUUUGAAUGACAAGCAGCUGAACAGCAGAGGAUUUGAAGCCUGUGAACUUCUUCACAUAGCGUGAUUUCCUUAAGUCCCAGAAUGAAAAUAAGAACAUCGUACGAAUCCUCCGUCCUUCAUGAACACAAUGAUGUGUUUUUCAUGUCUGUACUCCGAAAAAUGUGGCCACAACAGCGAGUUAAAAAAGUCUGAGCCUGAGUGACGAUAAGGAUUUUCUUGGAGAAGAAAUACAUUAGGGCCAAUGGGGAGAUAUUUGCGCCUAUCUGGACAUUUGGUCACCUGCUGGCCAAGGGGUACGAUUUAAUGAUUUGAAACCUCUUUUGUGAGAAGCAGGACACAUAUACCUCCAUUUUGAUGUAUUAUUUAUGGCUGUGGAGUGAGAUUUGUGGGCGUGGGAGCGAUAUAUUCGAGCGAGGUUCUGUCGAUCAGAGACGAGGUCUGCACUCUAGCUGAUGACAUCAUCACUCUAAACUCUCCAAUACACACCCAUUAUAAAGCUUGAAAUUUGCUGAAAACCACAAGUUGCUUAAAGCUAAAUUGUGGAAAAACUGUAAGAGAUAUCAAAAAACUGAGUACAACUUUAAUAGUCGACAAGUGAAUGAACAUUUUAAAGCAAAAAUGAGGUUUCUAGGUGAAAGUAUGCUGAAGUUAUAAGGUCUAGAAGGUGGAAGAAUAAAAGGAAGGAGUGGAAGAUUUCCCCAUUGACUUUAAUGUUAAAAUUUUUGCACAAAAAGUUAAAAAAAUCAAAAAGUAUAAAAGGUAGAAGAGUGAAAAGUAAUAGCCAUAAUGUCCUGAAGGAGUGUAAUAGUUUAAAGUUUGAACGGUUGAAAUCGGACAAAGUUUGAAGGAGGAGAAGCGGUCCAAAAAAGGGACGGAAGAAUAAUAAUAAUAAAGAAAAAUGGCCGACAGGAAUAACAAUAAGUGGAAAUGCUUAAUCAGCAUUUCCACUUAACUAGAAAAAUUGCAUUUCCUUGCAGAAAAUGCGUGGAAAUGCUGAGUGCUGAAAGCUGAAAAAGCAAUGCUAAACUGCUAAUAAAACAUGGAGAAAGGUAUAAAUGUUAAAGCUGUUGAAGGGGUGAAAAAGAAAUAUAAGUUGGAUAAUUGAUUAAUUGGUUGAAGGACAAAUAGUAUGAAUAUGCUCUAUAAAAGGAAAUUUUAUUCAUGCUGAAAGAGGCUAGAAAAAUGUCGAAAAUUGCACAAAGUUUGAAUGAAGAAGGAAAUUGCCUUAAAAGGCAGGAAGGUGAGAAGUGGCAUAAGUUUAAAUUGUAGUACUAGAAGUAGUAUGAUAAGAAGUCAAGUCGUGAUACUAGUAGUCAUGUCAGCAGUAGAAGUAGAUUGAGAAUAAAAGAAGUAUAAGUCAAAGUAGUAAAGAAAGUAGAAAUAGGAGCAAUAGCAGUUGAAGUAGAGGGGAAAGUUCUAGUUUAAUUGACAUUAGGAGUAGUUGUCGUACUUGAGGUAGGAUUUUAUUUGAAUGAUGGAGUAAUGCAUAAAUAUUAAAACUAAUUUAAAACAGGGAAAUUUUAAAUUUCCUCAAGUAUCAGAAAGUUUUGAAGUAUUAGAAAGGUUUGAAUCAGUUUGAAUGAGUUUAAAUUAGUUUGAAAAAUUAAAUGAUAAAUCAUCACUGACUGACUUUUAAAAUGUGAAAAAUUUAAAUGAAUAACAAUCCUAAAUACACCCAAUAAUGUCCUCAAUGAGCUUAAAUUUCAAAGCCCUGAAUGGUUUCUGUAGGUCAAAGGUCAUAUGAGGAGAUAGGGGCUGAAGUUUUUUCCAACGCUCUAGGAAAGGGUUUUAAGUGUCAUCCCAAUUGCUAUGUGUACUGAGCCUGGCUUCAUGUGUCUCAUAUGGCCACUAGAAGCAGCUUUCCAGUCAGCUGUGUGUCUCCAGGUGCACAAAUUGGUUGCCAUGGGGACCUUGGAUGCAUAACUAUAGCAGGAGAAAGAAGGCUUGAAGCUAAAGAAACAGGACUCCAAGUAGGCCCUGACGCUCACCCUCUGUAUAUAUUCAUAAGGAGCUUGUGAGAACACAAGACUCUGCUGAACACAUUAAUACAAUUUAUUAUCACAAUCCUCAAAACACCCCAUAAUAUCUUCAAUGAGCUGAAUUUUUGAAGCCCAGAAUGGUUUCUGUAGCUCAAAGUUUGUGGGUGGAGAUAGGUGGUGAAGCAGACACAUAUUAACUGUGUGUACAAGCAGCUGAACUGCAAGGUGGACCUCAAAAAGCAACAAGUACAAGAAUGUGUGUGUGUGUGUGUCUCGUUAAUGACUGCAUCCUAAACAGCUGUGAGAUCAAAGGCAAAUCACUAACCUACUGUUUGACUGAGAGGUGCUGAACUGCAGUGAAUUUCAGCCUGUGAACUUCUUCACAUAGCGUGAUUUCCUUAAGGCCCAGAAUGAAAAUAAGAACAUCGUACGAAUCCUCCGCCCUUCAUGAACACAAUGAUGUCUUUUUCAUGUCUGUACUUCGAAAAAUGUGGCCACAACAGCGAGUUAAAAAAGUCUGAGCCUGAGUGGGGAUAAGGAUUUUCUUGGAGAAGAAAUACAUUAGGUCUAAUGGGGAGAGAUUUCCGCCUAUUUGGACAGUUGGUCACCUGCUGGCCAAGGGGUAGGAUUUAAUGAUUUGAAACCUCUUUUGUGAGAAGCAGGACACAUAUACCUCCAUUUUGAUGUAUUUUUUAUGGCUGUGGAGUGAGAUUUGUGGGCGUGGGAGCGAUAUAUUCAGGCGAGGUUCUGUCGAUCAGAGACGAGGUCUGCACUCUAGCUUUUCAAAUCAUCACUCUAGCCUCUCCAAUACACCCCUAUUAUAAAGCCUGAAAUUUGCUGAAAACCACAAGUUGCAUAAAGCUAAAUUGUGGAAAAACUGUAAAAGAUAGCACAAAGAGGUUAAUACAACAUCAAUAGUCGACAAGACAAUGAACAUUUUAAAGCAAAAAUGAGGUCUCUAGGUGAAAGUAUGCUGAAGUUAUAAGGUCUAGAAGGUGGAGGAAUAACAGGAAGAAUUGAAAGAUUUCCCCAUUCAUUUCUAUGGGGAAAAAAGUUUGGCACAAAAAGUGAAAAAUAAUAAAAAGUAUAAAGGGUAGAAAAGAGAAAAGUAAUAGCCAUCAUGUCCUGAUGGAGCGGAAUAGUUUAAAGUUUGAACGGUUGAAAUCGGACAAAGUUUGAAGGAGGAGAAGCGGUCCAAAGAAACGUAUGGGGAGAGUGUUAAGUAUAAUACUAGAAAAAUUGCAUUUCCUUGCAGAAAAUGCGUGGAAAUGCUGAGUGCUGAAAGCUGAAAAAGCAAUGCUAAACUGCUAAUAAAACAUGGAGAAAGGUAUAAAUGUUAAAGCUGUUGAAGGAGUGAAAAAGAAAUAUAAGUUGGAUAAUUGUUUAAUUGGUUGAAGGACAAAUAGUAUGAAUAUGCUCUAUAAAUGGAAAUUUUAUUCAUGCUGAAAGAGGCUAGAAAAAUGUCUAAAAUUGCACAAAGUUUGAAUGAAGAAGGAAAUUGCCUUAAAAGGCAGGAAGGUGAGAAGUGGCAUAAGUUUAAGUUGUAGUACUAGAAGUAGUUUGAUAAGAGGUCAAGUUGUGAUUCUAGUAGUCAUGUCAGCAGUAGAAGUAGAUUGAGAAUAAAAGAAGUAUAAGUCAAAGUAGUAAAGAAAGUAGAAAUAGUAGCAAUAGCAGCAGUAGAGAAAGUAGAAAUAGGAGCAAUAGCAGUUGAAGUAGAGGGGAAAGUUCUAGUUAAAUUGACAUAAGUAGUUGUAGCUCUAGAGGUAGGAUUUUGUUUGAAGGACGAAUUAAUGCAUAAAUAUUAAAACUAAUAUAAAACAGGGAAAAUUUUAUUAAUUAAAAAUCCUCAAGUAUCAGAAAGUUUUGAAGUAUUAGAAAGGUUUGAAUCAUUUUGAAUGAGUUUAAAUUAGUUUGAAAAAUUAAAUGAUAAAUCAUCACUGAGUGACUUUAAAAUGUGAAACAUUUAAAUGAAUAUAAAUCCUAAACACACCCCAUAAUGUCCUCAAUGAGCUUAAAUUUUAAAGCCCUGAAUGGUUUCUGUAGGUCAAAGGUCAUGUGAGGAGAUAGGGGCUGAAGUUUUUCUAGCGCUCUAGGAAAGGGUUUUAAGUGUCAUCCCAAGUGCUAUGUGUACUGAGCCUGGCUUCAUGUGUCUCAUAUGGCCAUCAGAAGCAGCUUUCCAGUCAGCUGUGUGUCUCCAGAUGCACUAAUUGGUUGCCAUGGGGACCUUGGAUGCAUAACUAUAGCAGGAGAAAAAUUGAAGCUAAGGAAACAGGACUCCAAGUAGGCCUUGACGCUCAUCCUAUGUAUAUAUUAAUGAUAAGGAGCUUGUGAGAACACAAGACUCUGCUGAACACAUUAAUACAAUGUAUUAUCACAAUCCUCAAAACACCCCAUAAUAUCUUCAAUGAGCUGAAUUUUUGAAGCCCAGAAUGGUUUCUGUAGCUCAAAGUUUGUGGGUGGCGAUAGGUGGUGAAGCAGACACAUAUUAACUGUGUGUACAAGCAGCUGAACUGCAAGGUGGACCUCAAAAAGCAACAAGUACAAGAAUGUGUGUGCGUGUGUGUGUGUGUGUCUCGUUAAUGACUGCAUCCUAAACAGCUGUGAGAUCAAAGGCAAAUCACUAACCUACUGUUUGACUGAGAGGUGCUGAACUGCAGUGAAUUUCAGCCUGUGAACUUCUUCACAUAGCGUGAUUUCCUUAAGUCCCAGAAUGAAAAUAAGAACAUCGUACGAAUCCUCCGUCCUUCAUGAACACAAUGAUGUCUUUUUCAUGUGUGUACUCCGAAAGAUGUGGCCACAACAGCGAGUUAAAAAAGUCUGAGCCUGAGUGGGGAUAAGGAUUUUCUUGGAGAAGAAAUACAUUAGGUCUAAUGGGGAGAGAUUUCCGCCUUUGGACAGUUGGUCACCUGCUGGCCAAGGGGUAAGAUUUAAUGAUUUGAAACCUCUUUUGUGAGAAGCAGGACACAUAUACCUCCAUUUUGAUGUAUUUUUUAUGGGUGUGGAUUGAGAUUUGUGAGCGUGGGAGCGAUAUAUUCGAGCGAGGUUCUGUCGAUCAGAGACGAGGUCUGCACUCUAGCUGAUGACAUCAUCACUCUAAACUCUCCAAUACACACCCAUUAUAAAGCUUGAAAUUUGCUGAAAACCACAAGUUGCUUAAAGCUAAAUUGUGGAAAAACUGUAAGAGAUAUAAAAAAACUGAGUACAACUAUAAUAGUCGACAAGUGAAUGAACAUUUUAAAGCAAAAAUGAGGUCUCUAGGUGAAAGUACGCUGAAGUUAUAAGGCUGAGAAGGUGGAGGAGUAAAAGGUAGAAUUUGAAGAUUUCCCCAUUCAUUUCAAUGGGAAAAUUUUUGCACAAAAAGUCAAAAAUAUCAAAAAGUAUAAAGGGUAGAAAGAAAAAAUACACGCAAUAAUGUCCUGAAGGAGUGGAAUAGUUUAAAGUUUGAAUGGUUGAAAUCGGACAAAGUUUGAAGGAGGAGAAGCGGUCCAAAAAAGGGACGGAAGAAUAAUAAUAAGUUUAAUAAAGAAACAGGAGAAUAACAAUAAGUGGAAAUGCCUAUCAGCAUUUCCACUUAACUAGAAAAAUUGCAUUUCCUUGCAGAAAAUGCGUGGAAAUGCUGAGUGCUGAAAGCUGAAAAAGCAAUGCUAAACUGCCAGUAAUAAAUGGAGAAGGUAUAAAUGAAAAAACUGUUAAAGGGGUGAAGUGUUAUAAAUAGAAGUUGUAUGAAUGUUUCAACCGUAACAGAACUGAAGAAGAAGAUGAUGAAAAAGAGAUGAGUUGUAUGGAUGUAAAAACACUGGGAGAGGUAAACCAGUAGCUGUAUGAAUAUUCAAAUUGCUAAAGAACUGAUCUUGAACAUUACAGGAAAUAUGGUAAAGAAUUUUAAAGAUGGCUGAAAAGGCCUUCAUGUUGGAAGAAGUAGAAAUGAAUGUAGAUGAGAAAUGAACACAUUACACAAAUAUGUUUAAUUUAAAUAUAUAUGUUUAAGAAAAAUAUUAUUGUCAAUCCUUUAACAUUUUUUGAGCAAUGAAAUGAUUAAUCAUAAAACAUUAAAAAAAAUAAAUAAAAUAAAAAAACAAAAACAUAAACACAUAAAGAAACAGUGUUCCAUAGUGCCUUAAAUCAAAUUAUAAACAAUUUGUUUGUGAACAGGUAUUGGAAGCAGAAAUCUUUACAUGGGUGACCAAUCUGUCUCUUAAGCUUAAGGUUUUAAGAUUGUCGUUGUUGUGAUUGUUGAUGGACAAAGGUAUCACAUUUUCAGUUGUUUCUAAAAUUGUUUAGCCCAAUCAUUACAGGCUCUUCACACAGUUGUUAGACUGAGGCUAACACCCCAUUAUUUACUGGAUUCAAACUCCAGCAGCCCUGUACCCACAUUCACCUCUUUUCUUGUGUUUUCGGAUUACUAAGCCUUAACAAAAGUUGGCUCAUAAAAUUUGUCAUGGCCCAUUAAGCCAAGUCCUGUGUUGUGGGCUUUAAAAACAGACCUUGAAAUUUGAUUUCAAAGUCUGAUACAGGACUGUUAUGUGUGUUUUUAAGGGUUUAGAUUAGCCUAAGACUAAGUUUGCAUAUCUGAAAAACCUUUAUACCUAUACAUAAAAAAAAUAUAUGAAAAUGGUGACUUGAGAGUUAUAAAAAAAAUAGUUACUACAAUCGGUCAGCAGUAUAACAACAUAAAUGUGAAUCACAAAAAGUAUAAAAUGGAACAUGAGGAAUAGUAUGCAAAAAUAAGUCAGCAGUUUACUGUACAGUGUAGUACAGAAGUAUUUUACAGAAGUUAAAAUUAAAAUAAAAAAAAAAGAUUAAUUUGAAUUAAAAUUUAAUAUAAUGUGAAGGGUAAGGUAAAGAAUGCAAAUGCAAAUAAUGCAAAGUUAGGCUUGUGGAAAUAUACAGGCAAAGUAAGGUGUAAGGCUUAUGAAUUAAAUAUGGCAUUAUAGUAUUUUUUAAAGCUAACUGCAGUGAAAUGUGGGCUCUCGUAGAAAAAAAGAAAAUUAUAGAAUAAUAAAUAAUUAUAAUAAUAAAUAAAAUUAAAUGAUAUGAAACUGAAACUUUAAGCAAAAUCUAAAAUGAUCAGAUUAAAAAGUAGAUUUGAGAACUUGAAAUAAAUUGAUGUAAUGUAUUGGUCCACCUUAGCACCAAAAGGCUUUUCACAGUAGACCAAGGCUAUUACUGUCAUCAGCUCAUUGUCAUCUGCUCAUUUGUUUGCAAAAAUAACUCAGCAGUUUACUGUACAGUGUGGUACAGAAGUAUUUUACAGAAAUUAAAAUAUAUAUUUUUUUAAUUAAAUCUAAAUUAAAAAUUUAAAAUAAUGUGGAGGGUAAGGAAAAGAAUGCAAAUGCAAAAGAUGCAGUCCUCCAGGCUUGCGGAAAUAUACAAGCAAAGUAAGGUGAAAGGUUAAAAAAAUUAAAUAUGGCACUGAAGUAUUUUUUAUAGCAUGUAUUGGUCCACCUUACCACCCAAAAGGCUUUUCACAGUAGUUAGACCAAGGCUAAUACUGUCAUCAGCUCAUUGCAGUGGACUGACAAUCUGGUCAGCAUUUUAGAUCCCAGUGUUUUCUUAUCCAAACAUUCACACUACUCUGUCUUACUGAAAUGCUGGGUUGGGAACUUUGUUCCUCUAUGAAAUCCCUUCACACAGUUUGUUUAACCAAGCCCUGUGUUUGAUGAUUGUGACGACAACCUUCAGCAGGGAUUGUUUCACACUGUAAUGCUGGGAUCACUGCUGUCCAAAACAUUAGCCCAAGACUAAGCACACGUGAAAAACCUGCAGUGUACCUACCAGCUGAAACCCAAAGUACAUCAUUUAUUUCUAAAAACACAUCUUCUCUUGUAGGUAAAUUUGAGGGCUAUGGUGAGCAUAUUAAAACGAGAAAUUCAGCUGCCUGCAACAACUUUUCCGUUCAUCAGUGUUGGUCAUCUUUUGAUAUAAGGACAGAUACACAGUAAAAGGGAAAGAAAAUACUAAAAUAAGAUAGAACAAAUAAAGUCCAAGAAACAGGAAAAUUAAAAUAUUAACAGAUAUCGACAACCGAUCAUUUAAUGUAGAAAACAGGAUUCAAAACAAUAUAAGAGUGAUAGUUGUCCUGUCCUGAAGACAAUCAGUCAGUUCCUCAAGUGAGUACUGUGUUCUGUCUGGGCACUUUUUUUCAAAACCAAAAGCCGAGCCCGGUACAGUUCAGAGUGAAGGUUUUGAGUGAGGUAAUGUUUUGACCUUUGACCUGUGGUUGUAGAAUCACUGUGUGCAGUUAUCAGUGUUCGAGUUGACAGCAUCACUGGAGUCAGAGGCGGGAGGAGGAGAGGUCUGAAAAAAACAAACAAAAUCCCCUUCACUUUAACUCUGUAAUCAAUACAAUUGAUUGUAGGAUCACCAUUAGUUAGCUGCACUUGCUACACCGUGGAUGAACAGACAGUGACUUGAAGUAGGAGAAUGUAGCUGGUUCAAAACAGGAAAUAAACAGAAACAUUUGUGUUGAUAAUCUGUGAAACUAAACAUGUUGAAUAAAUACACACAUCAUUACAAUGAAUACCUUAAGCACUGCAGCAGAGCAACUUCACCAGGUCUGCAGCAGCAAAGCUUCCUCACACAGAGAGGGUCAAGGCUCAGGGUGGCUGCAUGAUGUCCACCUUUGGUGUGUUCAGCUGUCUGAGUGUCUAAGCUGUUCUUCCUCUCUUAACUGGCUUUAAGAAGACCUGGGAGAAAACACUGCAGUUAAAGACGAUGGUAUCAGCAGAGCUGUACAAUAGCAUCACAAGCAUUAAUACAGCAGCUAAGAUAACUAAGAAAAAAUAAAUGAACACAAGUUCACCAAGACAUUACCUCAGACUUUCUUGAAGAGGGGUUUAUUUCUUGGAGGUUCAGCAGGAACGAGCCCAGUGAGUGACAGGUACUACAGCAUCAGUUCUGCUUCAGCCUGAUGUCUGGUGGUCCUUGAGAGCUGCUUCAGGACAUCUGGGGCACAAGCAGGUAAAACACAUGUUUGUGUAGUCCAUGAGAGAAGGGUCCCGGUGGGUGCUGCAGUCUGUCCAGCACAGCGAUGAUGGUUGUUGAGAGCAGCAGGAGGAUGGUGUGGAGGAUGUCAUCUCUUCUUCACCUCUGACCAAAGACUGGGUUAAACAGCAGGUAGACUGUGUCUUUGAGUGGUCCAAAGUGAUGUGUUUACUUCUGGUUGACGGUUUGAUAAUUUUUUUCUGCUCAUAAGUGAGCUAAUCAGGACAGCACUAAUGGUCAGGACAAAGAUGGCAGAGACAACUGAAGAAGAAAAAAAAAAAAUACCCAAACAAAAGGAAACUUAGCUUUACUCUACUGCAUCCACAGGUGAUGUGUUUACUUUUGGUUGACAGUUUGAUAAUUUUUUUCAGUUUACAGUGAGCUAGUCAGGAUAGUACUAAUGGGGGUCAGGUUAAAGAUGACGGGGACAACUGAAAAAAAAAAAUAAUAGUAAUAAUAAAAAAUUUAAAAUAAAAACCUACCCAAAGAAAAGGAAACUUAGAAUUGCUCUAGUGUACUUACAGCCACCCAUGCUAAGAGAGUGGUGUAAAGUUGGGUGGAGAAAAGGGGGGUUUCAGCUGGUAGGUAACAGAACAUCAGAAAGUGUGUGUUCAUUAGGGAACACACACUUUCUGAUGGAGGUUUUUAAUUUUAGCUGCUGUAUACAGUAUUGUACACAGCAGCUGAGAGUUUUGGCCUGUGCAUUUAUCAAUCCGCACCCACCCUCCCUAUGUCCAGUCAAGUCAAGUUAAAUGGAUUAACUUGACUUGACUGGACUUGAUAAAUGCACAGGCCAAAAAUUGUAAUUUAUAACAUUUGAAUAGUUGGAAAAUUUUACAACCUGAAAAAUAUUUUCUUUCAAAAAAUUCUGAGCCAUAAAAAUAUUUUUUGCACUAGUAAAAUUUACAAUGACCAAACACAUUUCAAUCUGUACUGAAAAUAUGAGCAUAACAUUAGCCACAGCUUCUGUAGUUUGUCUUUUCCUUAAUAGUAGUUUCCUCUAUGACCUGUUGGAUGAAAUGACACAGUAAGUGGCGUUGUGGUAACUGUAGUAUGUCUGCACAAUACCUGAGGAGAGACAUAGCUGAGGUCGUGAACAGAAAAUCAGGUCCAGCAGUGUGUUCUUGUCCGUUGUAGCAGCAGUGAUCAGUUGACCAUAUCCCUUGGACUGAAAGAAAUCCAAAAUUGGCUUACUUGCAUUAGAAAAGAGAUUCUCAUUGAAAUCGCCACAGACAAUGAUAGGAUGACAGUCCAUGAUCUCAAGUGAGUCCAGAAGGCUUCCCAGAUUGGACAGGAAUGAUGACACACUGUAGUCUGGAGGUCUGUACACAGCUGCAAUCAGAGCACUUACAGGAGAUUCAACCUUCAAAGCCACAAAUUCGAGGUCAGUCACAUUAUUCAGGUACUGUUUCUCCACAACCUGCAAAUGGUUUUUCACAUAAACAGCGACUCCACCACCUCCUUUACUGGCCAUCUGUGGAAAGUUAGUGUAGGACAAAUGUCUGUUGCGUUUGAACAUGGUGUAGCCCUCAAACUGGAGACUGUCUGCCACAAAGGAGCCCUGUAGGUGAGUUUCUGUCAGACACAAAACAUCUGCAAGACACAGUUCAUGAUGGCUUUUGAUGUCAUUCACAUGAGCAGGUAAUCCUUCGGUGUUGUGAUGAAUGAUGCUCACAGUGUCCUGUCUGCUGAGAGAAUGCUGGAUCUGGAGAAAAGGCAUGAGGUGAUCAAAGUUAGCUUGCGUCAUGGUCUCCAAAGAUACAGUGACUGCAGGGUUAGCAUGGAUUUUACUCUCAUCCAAAUCAAGCAUGUACAGUCCGCUGAGAGAGGUCACUCGACUGAUAGCUACGUAGGCCAUGCCGGGCUCAAAAAUGUGCUUCAGAGAGACAACAGUUGAUUUUCUGGUCAUACCUUGAACCUUGUGUAUCGUGCAUGCAAAGGCAAGUUUCACAGGAAACUGUCUGCGUACCACUCCUUUCUGUUGCAGAGCCUCCUCAGAUCUCUCGAUGUACACAAGAUUGUCUCCUCGAGUACGAUAGCUCCUGCCAGCUGUUUCAUCAUCCAUCCUGAGACCAAGCAUAGUGACAAGAGCAGAACCAUUGUUUUCAGAGCUUAUGAGACGGCCUACUGUAGCAAAUGAUCCGUUCACCAAUCCUUGAGACACAUCAAUGUUUCUGGUAAGCAUGACCCUAGCACCUACUGCAACAUCUAGUGUGUCAGGUAGAUCAUUUCUGCUUCCAUGACAUGGUGCACCUUGUCUUUUCAUGUGUCCAGUGUGUGGGUCCUUUUUAAAGUCAUCUGCAUCAAUGGUGGUGAUAUCAGAAUGGAGCAGAGAUAGUGUAGCAGAGUUGUGUUCUGCGACUUGUUUGUUGGUAGCAAAAAUGUGCAGCACAUCAGAGGGACACAGUUGUGGUUCAGUGACACGCUGUGACAGCAGAGUUCUGUCAGCUUCAGAAAGCUCAUCUGACCUUGUUUUCACACGGAGUCUGUUCAGCAUCUCGGCAAAAGUUUUGUCAUCCUUCUGUCGCAUGAUCUCAUCCAAAGUGAUCACCUGGAAGUUGUCUCUCCAGAGGUCAAGCUCACUUGGAUCAUAGACACACAGUGGUUUGGACUGUCGCACAGGCGGUAGCUGGUAAAAGUCUCCCACAGCAAUGACUGACAUUCCUCCAAAGGGUUUGUGGCUGCCUUUAAUCUGUUUCAGUCUCACAUCAACAUAGGCAAAAAGUGGCUUCGACACCAUGGAGAUUUCAUCAAUGAUGAUGAUUUCAGCGUUUAAAAGCUCACACCUGAUUUCAUCAAGUUGGUUCCCAAGACCUUGAAAAGGAGGUUUCAAACUUCUGGGCAGCUUGAGAAGAGAGUGCAGUGUUGUUCCAGAGAUGUUAAAGGCUGCAGUUCCGGUGAAAGCAGUCAACAGCACAGUCGGGUUUGAGAUGUCAGCUUCCUCAGCACGUGUAGGUAGUGUUCUCAGAAUCUUUGAUGCUUCUGAAUGAAUGCAUUUAAUGAGAUGUGACUUUCCAGUGCCAGCACCACCAUUGAUGUAGUAGAAAAACUGCUCUGGUUGUCGUCCACAGACUCGUUUUAUGCACCAGUCUCUCACUGCAUAGAACACACAUGCCUGUUUCUGGUUCAGACUCUGAUACAUUUGUCGUAACCGUGUGGGAUCGAUUGUAGGGGGCUCUCUCAUGACUCUGGCCUCUGUAGCAGCAUUUGCUUGUCUGCUGUAAUCCGGUACAUCCUCUUGGACAUUUUCACACUGUCUGGCAUCCAGUUCAUCGAUACACUCCAACCUCACCAGUUCAGAUUCAGGUGCCAAAUUACACCAUUCAUCGACCACACCUCUGUUCUGUUCAAAGUCCUCGAGAGCAGAGUCAAUUUCCUCACUGUUUUUUUCAUAUCUCUCUCGGUUUCUUUUCACGAUGAGUUUCACACUCAGGGGUCGGUCAGAAUACGGCAGCUGAACCACACCUCUCUCAUAGAAUGACUCAUACGUGGGAAAAUAUGGUCUUUUCAGCUCAUCGUCUGAUCUGUAUGGAAGAUACAGUCUAAGCAAUGUGCCGUAAAACUGCUCAGGGUAUUUCUCUUUGGAUAUGCGGCGAUACCUGAUGACAGCAGCGUUGUCACUUUCUCGUCUCUGUAUAAAGCCUAGUUCAUUCAGCAAAGGUACCACUUUCUUGCCCUUGGUCUGUUGUCCAUACACCAGUCUGCAGGUAGAAGCAAAAUCAGCCAUGCACAUCUCUUCAAACUCUGGUGAUUCAGGUCUGGAUUUGUACUUGUCUGUUAAGGAUGUCAUCCACACAUUCAAGCUGUCUGGUGUUGUGUUGUCAAGGCUUGACACAGGCAGACUCAUUUUCACUGGGUUGUCAUCAGUUGGGACAAAAACCACACUGCGUGAACUCUUUUUCAUGUUCAGUGAAGUCACUCGGGCAACGGCUUCUUGUGCUGAUACUUCUCGCUUUUUGGAAUACGCCUGCAUGACCGCUUUCAUUUCAUCACAUUCAUUGACACAUUCUCUGUCGGAGUUCUGAAUGAGUGUUUGCAGGUACUGGCUCACAGAGUUCUCACUUUUACACAUGUACGUACAUAUGUAAUGGAUCAGACUGUAGUAGCUGAGAAUGAACUGCACGUCAAUAUUUGCAUCCCAAGCUUUGAGCAGGUGAGGGUUGUAGGUGUUUACCCAGCAGUCUUUCGGCUCACGCUUCAGAAUGAUGUUGCUGGACUGACUCAUCACAUUCAUGUGUUUCUCGUACUCAUCAGCGGUUAAGUCACAGACAGACAGGAGCUGUUGAAAACUCAUGGAUUCAGUUUGUGUCUCAUUCAGCAGCUGAUUCAGUGGUGCAAGUUUCUCUUUGGCUGUCUUAAGUCUCUCUGACUCCUCAUCAUCACCCACAGGUCUUGUUAUCAUUGUCUGUCUGGAGGGUGGUUUUGGGAAUCCAAAUCGGCAUCCAGAACUUGCACUUUUGAAACAUGUCUUUGAGUGGUUCUUACUGUGUAUUUGCACUUCUUUGACCUUUCUGUACAGUUCAGGCUGUUUAUUUGGGUCAGGGAGCUGAGCAGAGAUGUGUUUGGACACAAAGUCACACACAGUUUUGUCAGAGUCUCUCUCAAACACAGGUGCACCUUCUACCCACAAAAGACCAUGUAUAUGAGGACUUCCUCUGUGUUGAAACUCGAGACGCCAAAAGAAGUCAAAAACUUUGCCCAGGGGUUGUGCAGGAGACAUGAUCAGAUCUCUGUACAGUGCUUCAACACGCUUAUCAAACAUGCGCAUCGUUGUCACAGGAUUGCUUCUCAGAAUGUCACACUUUGUGGACCAGUCGAGCUCUUCAAAAUUCACUUCCUCACCUUGUUGUGAUUUUAUUGCAAUAAUCACCUCAGGCCAACGCAUUUCUGCUGCAGAAAAUGUGACAAAGAAAGUAGGACUGCCCAACUGUCUGAUCAUAGCAAACAGAUCUUUUGUAGUUUUGUCCCAGUAGGCUGGUGUUCCUCUGAGCGGCUGCAUAAAUCUGAUAGCAUCUCUGUUUCUCACCAGUCUCUCCACUUCGUAUUUGUCUCUCAACAUUCUGGAUGUUAUUUUACGUCCGUCUCUGGUCAAAGGUUUGCCUUUGCGUAACUGUAUGGACAUGCUGGAGGUAGCCAAGUGUAUUUCGGUCACAAACUGUGCAAAGAACAGGUAGUUGGUAUCUCUGGCAAAGCGAUCAUCAACACCAAAGAGCCUUGCUUUAAAAUAACUACUGGGUGAUAAUUUCAUGGGUCUGUUUUCAUCCAGUGUAUUCUCACCAGUGGGAAACUGAACAGGAAACGCCAUGGCCUCUAGUUUGGGUGUUUUGAAAAAACUGACUGGAUUGUUUCUCUCUGCUGGAGCUACUGAGUAUGUAGAGUCACUGAAACACAAUAUCUCCUCAGAAACAUCACGUGGCUGAAGGCACGACUCCAAAACAACACCACCAUUAUGCACGUCUGAAUCCUGUUGUUGUGUCUGAUCAUCAUUGUCCUGGGUCUGACUUUUAUCACACAGCUCUGUGUUGUCGUCCUCAGUUUCAGCAUUAGUUUCAGCCUCAUACAUGGCAGCAGCCUCAAUUCUAUCAAUCUCCAUCAAAUCCUCAUCAUCAUAGUCAUCAUCAUUCAUUGUGUUAUCAUCAUCAUCCUCAUCCUCAUCCUCAUCCUCAUCACCAUCAUCAGGAAGUGUGGGGUCACAUAACUCCUCCUCAUCUCUAAUAGUGAUGUCUUCAUAUUGGGGGUGUAUCUCUUUCAGUGUAUGCAGGGCCUGUACUAGCUUGGACCAGGUAACAGUCUGAAACAGAUGGUGACCUCUGUAACUCAAGCGUCUCUUCAGUUUUACUCUCAUCACCUGAGACUCAUUUCUCAAUCUGGGUAGAGCCUGAAUUGUUUCCUGGACUUCAGAGGGAACACAUACAACAUUACCAUGUAUAGCUCGCUGUCUGCCUUUGGGAAGAGGAAUGAUUUUGGCAAAUGUUAUGCACUUUGCUAUCAGAUGUCUCUCCAGUAUGUUGAGGCCACACAGUUCAGGUGGUAUGUCAGCAAGCUCCAAGUUGUUUGCUAUGGCAAGUUUGGGCAUGGCUCCAUUUUUCAGAUGGUCAUGGCAGGUGUGACAAAUCCACUCAGUCUUUCUCUCAUCAGGGACAGUGCAGUGAUUUCUGCAGUCAUCGUUACAAUCAUGGACGUACUGACCUUUGAGACAAGCUGAAACCAUGAUUGGAUUUUUCACAUAGUUGGACCUCUUGCACUUUUGCACCUGGUUUGGAAAUGAGGCUUUGUGGCAAACUGUGCAAACAUGGGUGGGACCAGCUUUAAUGUGUGAUCGGAAAUCAUUUAUGGCACUUUCAAUAAGUGGGUUUUCACUCUCUCUGUCAGUCUCACAUGUUUGUUUACUUAUCCGUUUGUAUUUCUUUGAUAUUUUCAAUGCACACCUCAUUUUAUGCAUAGUUCUGUAUGCAAGAUUUGUCUUGUACCUGUCUCGCAUCAUUUGUCUCAUCAGCUGUCUGUGUCGGUUACGGAAUAUUUCAUCAUUUGCAUAUCGAUGAUUGAUAUAUGAUCGCUGUCUUUGCCGGAAAUUAACAUCCUCAGAGUAUUUUUUCCUGAUAUAUUCUUUUUGUCUGCCUUUGAAAUCAACAUUUUCUCUGUAUUUUUUCGUGAAAUAUUCUUUUCGUCUGCCUCUAAAAUCAAUAUUUUCUCCAUAUUUUUUCCUGAAAUAUAACUUUUGUCUGCCUUUAAAAUCAACAUUUUCCCUGUAUUUUCGUGUGAUAUAUUCUUUUUGUUUCAGUCUGUAGUCUGUGCUUUCUCUAUAUUUAGAUGUGAUCUUUUGUCUUUUCUUUGUCUGUAUCUCAGGAUUUACAGAAUAUUUGUUACUUGAAUAAGACUUUUUCUUUGCUUUAUAUGUUUCAUUCUUAGCAUACUUUUCUCUCUCUCUCCUUUUUUGAUUCUCUUUCUUUUGAGAUGUCUUUCCAGAUCUCAUUAGUCUCCUCUUAAAUUUCUUUUUUUGCUGUUUGUUCAAUUUUGACAGUUUACUAGAAAUGUCAUGGAGGACAUUAUCACUGGUGACAGGGAUAGUUAUAAAUGGUUGUGUCAAAUUUGAUUGUGUCUCCUGAGUUUCCUCUUUGACAGAAUUCAUGCUGAUUUGACCUGGUUGAUGAGCUUGUGUUUCCAUCAAAGUUGAGACUUUCUGUGAUGUGUCAUCACUUACAGUAGUGUUCAUCUCCAGAACGAGAGAUUCAGGACCAGUUAAUGUGACAGAACACUGGCUGAAGUCGAUCAGUGGUUCUGGUUCAGUUUCCAUGUCGCAUUCAGUGUUUUCAUGGACAUCAGUGUUCAUCUGUGGAGCACUUGUGUCAUCAUUUAUCACAGUGGUUGUUACAGAGGGACUUGUGGACGGACUUUCUGUGGCUGGGAUAGCAUCACUUGGGUUCACAUCACCGAACACAACUGGCUUGAGCUCAUAGGUACAGGACGCUGCUGUGCCCAAUAUGUGGUGAUACCUGAUGAGCCUGGCAAUCAUGUCACUAAGGCGUGUGAAUGUUACCAUGACAGCGGUACCAGGAGUAGGUGUGGCUUUAAGCAGAGGCAAACCGUUAGCUGUCCUAGCAUGUGGGUCAAAGAAACCGUACCUGCCAUCUCUGGUUCUGAAAACUGCAAUGCACAGUGAAGUCAUUAGCAGCAAAGCAUACUGCACAUCUGAUAAUAAGCAGCUCAGUCCUGAAACGAGGUCCAGAAAGGUAUCAACAGCACCGGGAUCCGGAUCUCCAAACGUACCGUAUCUAGACAGCUGUGACUUGUCAAAAAUCUGCGUGUGUCUGCGUGCAGGAACCUCUUUAGGGAGCUCAUCGGUUGUCAGAUGGAUGUGAUCACGAACAGUUUUCCUGACUUCUCUGUACAUCACAUCACCUUUAUCCAAAACACGGUCCAGAUCUGCUCUGGUGAUGUGUUCUCUCUCAUACAGGAAUGCUAGAAAUGUCAGUGAAUUACAAGUGCACUGCUGGUUCCUGGAUUGGCCGUAUUUCAGAGAUGCUUGGCUGCGUGACGCACAGACGUUUUGUUCACCUGACUGAUUAACAGCGUUCUCAUUUCUUACCUGAGAAGAGCCUGAUACAGACUGAUAAUUACUGUGGUUUCCCUUCUUAACAGUGUCUGCACGUGAUACCUGGGUUGAGCAUGGCUUUUCAGUUUGGGCUAUGUAGUUCACCUGAUGAGAGUUAGAAGGACCUGCUGCAGGUGACUCACUUACACGUCUCCUCUUAAGCACGUCUGCAUAAGAUACCUGUGGUUGACAUGAUGCAUUUUCACCUCCCUGUUUCACAGCAUCAGACACUUCAGACCUCUUUACCUCUCCACUGCUCUGAGGAAUACCAUCUGCUGGUCCAGUACUCACAAAGUCAAUGUCAUGAAACCUCUGCCAGCGCUGGCUUGCAACCUGUGACCUCUUACUCUUCCUUGGCAUUGUAACUGUUCUUUCACAAAAAUGUGUUUAUGCAACAAUUAAAAGUUACUGAUAAGCACCAGUAUAGACAAAAAUGCUUUAUUUCUUCAAGAGGACGUUAUUUACAGCUCUUAUAGUCUCCAAAAAAUCUAAUUUAUAACUGUGUGUAUACCAACAAUAGUUUAUCAAAUGUUUUCUAAGGAAAUCCUAGGCAAGACUAUGUAAAUGUUUGAAGAAAAAACACAAAUCAACAAUUUUUUAAUCUUAGAACUUUGUGUUUGAAAUACUAUGCAACUCAAAUAUUCUAUAUAAAACGUGUUUUUAUGUUCUUUCAAAGUCAGGUAUGCAGAUGUGGUGUAGCUGACGACACGUCUUCUGGCGAAACUCUGGAUUCACAGACAGGAGAGGAGGACCUAGAACAACAAUCAGACUUGUGCAAAAUUAGGGAUUUUUCAAAAUAGCGGUUGUAUUAAAUGUACUUCCGUUUCAAAAGUUUUGACUCAAAGAAAGGUUGCUUGUUUCAAAAGGUUUCUCAAAAUAGGUUCUCAAAAUAGGUUCUCAAAUGUUCUGCAAAGUUCUGAAAAGUUCUGCAAAGUUCUGAAAAGUUCUGCAAAGUUCUGAAAAGUUCUGCAAAGUUCUGAAAUGUUCUGAAAUGUUCUGAAAAGUUCUGCAAAGUUCUGAAAAGUUCUGCAAUGAGUCAGAGUGGGAUAGAAGGGGGAUAGAAAGACAGAGUUGCUUUUCAAUCAGACAGAGUGGUAGAGGAGACAGGAAAGACAGAGCGUCCAAAACUUAGCCAGAGGGAUAGAAGAAAGGGGGACACAAGACAGAGUGCUUUUCAAUCAGACAGAGUGGUAGAGGAGACAGGAAAGACAGAGCGAUCAAAAUGAUAGGGGAGAGUGGGGAGACUGGACAGGAUACCUGUAAGACAAAAUGGAAACAAACAUUAAUCCCUUUUUAUUAAAGAAAUAAAAUAAAAUAAACCAACAUCCACCCAAAGCUAAUGGCAUCAUAAUGCACUUUUACUCAACCCAUCAAGUGGCUGUCCUCAAUUAUACAUCUUUCAAAAGUCAAGUUGAGUCAAAAGCUGGAAGUGACCAUUGUCUUGUUCGAUAACCCUUCAAACAAAUAAGGACUAAAAAUCCAAAGUGUUCAUUAUAGUUGAUCAAAAAUUAAUUUAAGAUACGAAGAACUUUAUUUAUCCCCUAAGGGAAAUUCAAUUGUCUAUAGUCUCAUUUGUCACGUCUGUAUAAGUCAUCUACUAUUUAAAUUGUAGAGUCUCAUGGCUGUGGGUACAAAAGAUCUUUUGAAUCUUUUUUCCCUGCAGCGAAGACAGAGGAGCCGUCCACCACCAUAGGCCUUUCGGUCCACCAAGGUGUUGUGAAGUGGGUGAGCCAUGUUCUCUAGAAUAGCCUCCACCUUCCUCACAGUACAUCUCUCCACCACAUCCUCCAGUGAGUCAAACUUGAAUCCAACCACAGAGCCACCUUUUUAAAUUUAGGACCUCAAAGUAUUUUACAAAAAGUUCUAUUAUCCCUGUGUAUUUUAGACUCUUUAAGUACUUUAAGUUCCCUUUAUAAUGUUCAUAACCAUGUCCUGGUAAGCAAAAGUAACAAUGGAUUACUCUGCUGAUAAAAUAUUAUGUAUUUUGGAGAAGGUAAUUUCCUUUACUGUGUUUUAAGUAUUCCAACAAUGUAAAAAGUAGUAAUGAGGCCAAGCACCUCCAUGAGCUGUAAACAGAAGCAUGCAAGGUACCUUAGAAGGAUAUACACAUAUCUAAACAUAGGAUUAAAUAAAUAAUAAAAUAAAUCAAUGGCUGCAUAAAUAAUGAUUGUCUAUUCCAUAUUAAAGAACAUUAAAUUUGCUUGUUUUUUUAAAUAUGAGAGAUGUACAAAGGAGGGAAUCACAUUCAAUUAGUAAUUAUUUGGAUUUUCAUCGUUAAAAAAUUCCAACUCCACAAUCUAAUAGUAAUAAAUUGCUUUCCAGGGAUUGGAAAUGAAAUGCAAAUAAGUGUACUGCAUAUUACAUUCAAGCUGUUCAUUUCCAACUGUGAGUAUUACAUAAUCAAAGGAAACAAAUUGUUAAGUUAGGACAUGAUGAGGGGUCCAUAAUGUGUUGAAUAAUGGCACACUGUCUUAUUCAUGAAAGUGUCAUUCCUGUGUGAACUUACGUCGAGUCGCCACAAAGCGGUCUGCACUUGGAGACAGGACAGAGUUGGCAAAAAGGAAAAUGGAAAAAUAGAGACAAGAGAUUUUUAGUUUAAUUGUAGAAAACCAGCACAUCUCACUGCAUUUCAGUUUCAACUGUAAUCAGCCGGCAAAAUUGAUUAAGUGUUAUUUAAAAUUGUUUGUGUUACAAUGGAAAUGUGUUGCAGUUUGUCAAAUAAGGACAUAAUGUCAGGUUUUUACAUGAUAUGUUUAAAAAUGUAACAGUGGAAACAUUUUUAAAUUACUUUAUUUGUGAACUUACAGCUGAGUCGCCAACAGUGAAUAGGGCCAGCAGUAGAGAUAGCAUCGAGUUCAGGAGAGAAAAGACAGGGACAAAAAAUAAAUAAAUUUAGUUGCAAAGAAAUCAGCAUCUUAUAGUUUACUGCAAUCACAACUUUUCACUGUGGAUCCUUAGUUUUCUCAUUUCUUAUCAAAGUCUACAAUUUGUGGCACUUGAUUAGUAAAAGGAUGUUACUGCAGCUCCCUUGGCCUGUAAAAAAUGUUUGUUAAAAUGGAGAGAAAAUGCACAAACACAUUGAAGGACCUCUUCACUUUUUGCUUUCUUAUGCAAGUUAUUGAGGUGAAAUACAAAACAGUGAAAUAUAAUUAUAAACUGCAGAGCAAAAAUGUAACAUUUAAGUGAUUGCCCAAUAAGUAUAUAUAUAUAUAUAUAUAUAUAUAUAUAUAUAUAUAUAUAUAUAUAUAUAAAUUAAAGCGUGCAUUUCACUUGCUGAGGACAAAACUAAAGAGAAAAUGCACCAAGAACAAGCAAGAACUGAAGACAGUUGCAGUAGAGACCUGGCAGAGCAACACUAGGGGUGAAACCCAGCGUCUGGUGUAUCUAUCUGUCCUAGACAGCAAAGGAUUUGCAACCAUAUAUUGCACAGUGAAAGUUUGAUGUAUGAUUUUUGAUUUGUCCCAAUACUUUUGGUCUCUUAAAAAGUGAGAGGCACAUAUACAAACUGUUUUAAUUCCUACACCUUUCACCUAAUGUGGAUGUAAAUAACCAUAUAUUAAAGCUGAAUGUCUGCAGUCAAAGCACAUCUUGUUUAUUUCAUUUAAAGUCAACUGUGGUGGUGUUUACAGCCAGAGAGAUGAGUAUUAUGCUGAUGUCCCAAUAUUUUUGGACCCGACUGUAAGCAUGAACUUACACUUCAGAGUUGGUAGGGAUUUUCGCCCAGGUCAGAGGACAAGUUGAGGCAGGAGGAGGGGGAGAGAGAGGGAAAGAGAUUUUUAAUACACUAAAAAAAACUUCAUUCAAAAUUUAUCUGAAUGAUUUUCUCACUUAAUUAUUGUCACAAUCAAGAUUCAGACUUUCGCCAGCAAUUUUUUAAAUAAAUUAAUUUAGUAGUGUAGUAGCACACUAUUGUCUUCUAGGAAAAAACUGUAUCCCAUCUAUGAUUUUCAUAUAGGAUAUACAACAGUGUUACAGAUAAAUCAACAGUUCAAAUCAAUUUAAAGUCAGUAUUUGAAAAAUGCAUCAUAUGUACAUUAAUCCAGUUAUUCUUAUUUUGUUUGUUGUCAGUCCUGGUCAAAACACUUAUACUUACCAACAAAUGCACUGGAGCGGAUGUAUCUUCUGUUUGUUUGAGACAAGAAGCAAUACAUUAGUGUUUUCUGACAGAUAGCACAUUAAAAACAAUAGGCCUAUAAAGAAAACUAACAUUAUUACAGUAGUUGGGCUAAUUGAAAACUAAACAGCUCAAACUGAUCACCUGGCUCUUAGCUGCAGCUGAAAAUGUCACACAUAAUACAUACUGUAUUAAAGUACUUAUACCUCAGAUAAAGAAUCUUUGCUGUGGUGUUAGCACAUCACCAAUAUCCAAAUUAACAGCUUGCUAUCAAAAGUAAAUUAGGUACAGUAAAAGGAGAAGUUCAGUAGCAGCCAGCAAGACAGAGACAGACCAGGAGCAGGUUCACCAACUUCAAGGCAGCUUACUCUCCAUCCAUUAACUCAAUAUUAAGAUAAGAACUUUAUAGAUCCCUAAAGAGAAAUUCAACUGGAAUAUACUUAUUAAUUGGAACUUGGUAUUGUUAAACAUUAAAUACUGAAUGAAUUUUAUGUUUUGCAAUGUAAAUAUCUCUAUCAUCCCCAUCAUGAAUAAAACCUUCAAUAAUAGAGGACCAUCUAGGUCCAUUCUGACACAUAAAAAAAGGAAAACCACUCACAUUUGUGCUAUACCUGGAUGCUUGCUAAAUGCAGCCUAUAUUUUAAUACAUCUACAAUGGCUGAAAAAAGUGACCAGGAGCUAAACAGCUGACGUCUCCAGACCAGUUCCCCAGCAAUGACUCAGUCAUAGUAAUGAACUGAACCAGUAGCAAUGGCGCUAGCGUCAUUAGUUAGCUAGUUAGUCAGUUAAUACUUGAAAUUAUGAGUAUUCUUGUCAGUCCCAUUGUCAGUAAACUCCACAGCCUGUACAUCAUUUGGCAUGCUUUAUAGUACCGCAGCGGCUUAUGUAUUCACUUUAUUUUGUGCUCAGCUGGUUAAUGAUUCAGCCUCACAGCUGAAGGUAUGUUAGCUUUAACGUUAGCCCGACGCUAGCGGCGCUAGCUCGACGCUAGCGGCGCUAGCUCGACGCUAGCGCCGCUAAUUCGACGCUAACAGCGUUAGCGUACGCUUUUUCAACUCAUUAUCUCGACCACUUCAAUCAUGAAUGAAAUCUUCAUUGAUUAUAACUGAAACCAGUGCCAUUUGAAACGUUAAAUCACCGUUUGUCGUGUUCAGAAGUUAGAGAGACUGUGCUCUGACUCACCUUCGUUGAUGUCGGAGAAGGAUAGCGCGAGCCACCAGUGGGUCACGGUAUUAAUGUUUGAGGCGUUCAGGGACACUCGGAAAUGUCAGACUUCACACGACGGAAAGGCAGUGGUUCAAUCAAUUCAUUUUAAUUGUUUUCUAGUACUAAUAGUAGCAAGACUAGUUGAAGUAGAAGUGAUAUAAGUAGUAGUUGUAGAAGUGGAAGUGGGAUUUUGUUUGAAGAAUUGAAAUAUGCAUGAAUAGUAAAAAUGAUUUAAAGUGGGGAAAAUAUAACUAAUAAAAAAUCCUAAAGUAUUAGAAAGGUUUGAAGAAUCAGAGGUUUGAAUAAGAAUGAGUUUCAAUUUGUUAGAAGAAUUGAAUAAUGCAUAAAUAAUGAGGAUGUUUUUAAAUGAAGGACAAUUUAAAUGAAUAGAAAUCCUCUGUAGACUCCAUAAUGUCCCCAAUGAGCUGAAUUUUUGAAGCCCUAAAUGUCUCUGUAUCUCAAAGUUUGCGAGAGAAGAUAGGUGAUGAAGCAGACACAUGGUCAAAGUGUGUUCAGGUCUCAUAGACAGAGAGAGACUCAUGCAUGCACAUAUUUACUGUGUGUACAUGAAGGUCUCAUAGAGAGAAAGAGGCUGACGCACACACACUGUGUGUGUGUGUGUGUGUCGUUAAUGAUUGCAUCCUAAACAGCUGUGAGAUCAAAGGCAUUAACUGACCUGCUGUUUGAAUUGAGAAGCUGCUGAACUGCAGUGAAUAUAGGGCUCUGAACUUCUUCACAUAGCACGAUUUCCUUAAAUCCCAGAAUGAAAAUAAGAACAUCGUACGAAUCCUCCGCCCUUCAUGAACACAAUGAUGUGUUUUUCAUGUCUGUACUCCGAAAAAUGUGGCCACAACAGCGAGUUAAAAAAGUCUGAGCCUGAGUGGCGAUAAGGAUUUUCUUGGAGAAAAAAUACAUGAUGGUCAAUGGGGAGAGAUUUCCGCCUAUUUGGACAGUUGGUCACCUGCUGGCCAAGGGGUACGAUUUAAUGAUUUGAAACCUAUUUUGUGAGAAGCAGGACACAUAUACCUCCAUUUUGAUGUAUUAUUUAUGGCUCUGGAGUGAGAUUUGUGGGCGUGGGAGCGAUAUAUUCGAGCGAGGUUCUGUCGAUCAGAGACGAGGUCUGCACUCUAGCUGAUGACAUCAUCACUCUAAACUCUCCAAUACACACCCAUUAUAAAGCUUGAAAUUUGCUGAAAACCACAAUUUGCUUAAAGCUAAAUUUUGGAAAAACUGUAAAAGAUAGCACAAAAAGGUUAAUACAACAUCAAUAGUCGACAAGACAAUGAACAUUUUAAAGCAAAAAUGAGGUCUCUAGGUGAAAGUAUGCUGAAGUUAUAAGGUCUAGAAGGUGGAAGAAUGAAAGGAAGAAGUUUAAGAUUUCCCCAUUGACUUCAAUGUUAAAAUUUUUGCACAAAAAGUUAAAAAAAUCAAAAAGUAUUAAGGGUAGAAAAGUGAAAAGUAAUAGCCAUAAUGUCCUGAAGGAGUGGAAUAGUUUAAAGUUUGAACGGUUGAAAUCGGACAAAGUUUGAAGGAGGAGAAGCGGUCCAAAAAAGGGACGGAAGAAUAAUAAGUUUAACUAGAAAAAUUGCAUUUCCUUGCAGAAAAUGCGUGGAAAUGCUGAGUGCUGAAAGCUGAAAAAGCAAUGCAAAACUGCCAAUAAAAAAUGGAGGAAGGUAUAAACGGAAAAACUGUAGAAAAGGUGGAGUAGAAGAAGAAGAAAUUGUAUGAAUGGAAGAAUUGUAGUAUAGCUGGAGGUAAAUUAGUUGGAUUAAUGUACAAAUUGUCUGAUAGCCUAAGUGAAAAAUGUAUAUGAUUGAUGUGAAUAAACAGAACUGAUAUGGAUAAUUGAAUUUGAAAAACAAAUGCCUUUAAACAAUGUGUAACAAUGUUCCUAUUAAAUGUACAAAUAGUAAAACAGAUUUUUGCAGUCUGCAGCAUCCAACCAUAGUAACUUGAGAAUGCAGAACAGCACCAUCUAUUGCCCUGCUUCAGUUACUGCCCUACAUCUGAAUGCAGAAAGUAUGAAACAGCUGAAGUUAAAUUAAUUGUAUAAAUGUAGAAAGUAUAGAAAAGAAAAGCAGAAGUAGAAGAAAAAGAAGAAGCUAGUAUGUUAAAAGAGUUAAAGACAAGAACUGUAACAACAAAGUUCAUAUUGGGGCUGUAUUUUCUACUGACAGAGAGACAGUAAUGCACACAUGGAAACAGUGUGUGUGUAUGUGUGUGUGCCCGCGCGCGCACGAGCGGCCAAGUCCGUGCGUGUGCGAUCGAAGCACACAGCCCAUGACAAGUGCAGAAUCUGACAGAGAGAUAGUAAGAGACACAGUAAUUCACUCAUGGAAACAGUGUGUGUGUGUGUGUGUGUGUGUGUGUGUGUGUGUGUGUGUGUGUGCCCGCGCGCGCACGAGCGGCCGAGUCCGUGCGUGUGCAUGUGCGUGUGCGAUCGAAGCACACAGCCCAUGACAAGUGCAGAAUCUCUGGCUCUGAAGGAAUGUACUCACCUCCUGGGCAAGCUGUACAAUUUCAUGACUUCAGACCGAUUUUGUGAGAAGCAGGACGAGUGUACCUCCAUUUUGAUGUGUUUUUUAUGGCUGUGGAGUGAAAAUUGCGGCCGCAGCAGCAAAAUAAUCAUGCUUGGUCUAGUGAAUCCAAAAGGCCCCGCCCGCAUCGAGUGAUGACGUCAGACGCUGUAGCGUGAGUCAGGCUGAAAAAGGCAGACAACUUCAUGUUGCUCCAAGUGAAAUUGUGCAAAAACGGUAGGAAAUAGCAAAAAGGAGUGAAUACAACAUUUGUAGCAGACACGUUGCUGAACAUUUUAAAGCAAAAAUGAGGUCUGUAGGUGAAAGUAUGCAGAAGUUAUAAGGGUGAGAAGGUGUUAUAGCUGUAUCUCCAUUCAUUUGUAAUGGAACAAAUUUUUGCAGAAAAAGUGAAAUAUUGCAAAAAGUAUAAAUGGUAGAAAGGUGAAAAGUAAUAGCCGUAAUGUCCUGAAGGAGUGCAUUAGUAUAAAGUUUGAAUGGUGAAAAUAGCACAAAGUGGUAAGGAGUUGAAAAGGGCCAAAAAAGGUACGGAAGAAUAAUAAUAAUAAUAAAGAAAUAGUAGAAUAACAAUAAGUGGAAAUGCUGUGUCAGCAUUUCCACUUAACUAGAAAAAUUGCAUUUCCUUGCAGAAAAUGCGUGGAAAUGCUGAGUGCUGAAAGCUGAAAAAGCAAUGCUAAACUGCUAAUAAAACAUGGAGAAAGGUAUAAAUGUUAAAGCUGUUGAAGGGGUGAAAAAGAAAUAUAAGUUGGAUAAUAGUUUAAUUGGUUGAAGGACAAAUAGUAUGAAUAUGCUCUAUAAAAGGAAAUUUUAUUCAUGCUGAAAGAGGCUAGAAAAAUGUCUAAAAUUGCACAAAGUUUGAAUGAAGAAGGAAACUGCCUUUAAAGGCAGGAAGGUGAGAAGUGGCAUAAGUUUAAGUUGUAGUACUAGAAGAAGUAUGAUAAGAAGUCAAGUCGUGAUACUAGUAGUCAUGUCAGCAGUAGAAGUAGAUUGAGAAUAAAAGAAGUAUAAGUCAAAGUAGUAAAGAAAGUAGAAAUAGUAGCAAUAGCAGCAGUAGAGAAAGUAGAAAUAGGAGCAAUAGCAGUUGAAGUAGAGGGGAAAGUUCAAGUUUAAUUGACAUAAGUAGUUGUAGUACUAGAGGUAGGAUUUUGUUUGAAGGACGGAUUAAUGCAUAAAUAUUAAAAUUAAUAUAAAACAGGGAAAAUUUUAUUAAUUAAAAAUCCUCAAGUAUCAGAAAGUUUUUUAGUAUUAGAAAGGUUUGAAUCAUUUUGAAUGAGUUUAAAUUAGUUUGAAAAAUUAAAUGAUAAAUCAUCACUGAGUGACUUUAAAAUGUGAAAAAUUUAAAUGAAUAUAAAUCCUAAAUACACCCCAUAAUGUCCUCAAUGAGCUUAAAUUUUAAAGCCCUGAAUGGUUUCUGUAGGUCAAAGGUCAUGUGAGGAGAUAGGGGCUGAAGGUUUUUCAAGCGCUCUGGGAAAGGGUUUUAAGUGUCAUCCCCAGUGCUAUGUGUACUGAGCCUGGCUUCAUGUGUCUCAUAUGGCCAUUAGAAGCAGCUUUCCAGUCAGCUGUGUGUCUCCAGGUGCACAAAUUGGUUGCCAUGGGGACCUUGGAUGAAUAACUAUAGCAGGAGAAAGAAGGCUUGAAGCUAAGGAAACAGGACUCCAAGUAGGCCCUGACGCUCAUCCUCUGUAUAAAUUCAUAAGGAGCUUGUGAGAACACAAGAUUUUGCUGAACACAUUAAUACAAUUUAUUAUCACAAUCCUCAAAACACCCCAUAAUAUCUUCAAUGAGCUGAAUUUUUCAAGCCCAGAAUGGUUUCUGUAGCUCAAAGUUUGUGGGUGGAGAUAGGUGGUGAAGCAGACACAUAUUAUCUGUGUGUACAAGCAGGUGAACUGCAAGGUAGACCUGACAAUGCAACAAGUACAAGAAUGUGUGUGUGUGUGUGUGUGUGUGUGUGUCUCAUUAAUGACUGCAUCCCUAAACAGCUGUGAGAUCAAAGGCAAAUCACUAACCUACUGUUUGAAUGACAAGCAGCUGAACAGCAGAGGAUUUGAAGCCUGUGAACUUCUUCACAUAGCGUGAUUUCCUUAAGUCCCAGAAUGAAAAUAAGAACAUCGUAUGAAUCCUCCGUCCUUCAUGAACACAAUGAUGUGUUUUUCAUGUCUGUACUUCGAAAAAUGAGGCCACAACAGCGAGUUAAAAAAGUCUGAGCCUGAGUGACGAUAAGGAUUUUCUUGGAGAAGAAAUACAUUAGGGCCAAUGGGGAGAUAUUUGCGCCUAUCUGGACAGUUGGUCACCUGCUGGCCAAGGGGUACGAUUUAAUGAUUUGAAACCUCUUUUGUGAGAAGCAGGACACAUAUACCUCCAUUUUGAUGUAUUAUUUGUGUCAGUGGAGUGAGAUUUGUGGGCGUGGGAGCGAUAUAUUCGAGCGAGGUUCUGUCGAUCAGAGACGAGGUCUGCACUCUAGCUCAUGACAUCAUCACUCUAAACUCUCCAAUACACACCCAUUAUAAAGCUUGAAAUUUGCUGAAAACCACAAGUUGCAUAAAGCUAAAUUGUGGAAAAACUGUAAAAGAUAUCAAAAAACUGAGUACAACUAUAAUAGUCGACAAGUGAAUGAACAUUUUAAAGCAAAAAUGAGGUCUCUAGGUGAAAGUAUGCUGAAGUUAUAAGGUCUAGAAGGUGGAAGAAUGAAAGGAAGAAGUUGAAGAUUUCCCCAUUGACUUCAAUGUUAAAAUUUUUGCACAAAAAGUAAAAAAAAACAAAAAGUAUAAAGGGUAGAAAGAAAAAAAAUGGAAGCCAUCAUGUCCUGAAGGAGUGGAAUAGUUUAAAGUUUGAAUGGUUGAAAUCGGACAAAGUUUGAAGGAGGAGAAGCGGUCCAAAAAAUGGCGGAAGAAAAAUAAUAAUAAUAAUAAUAAUAACUAGAAAAAUUGCAUUUCCUUGCAGAAAAUGCGUGGAAAUGCUGAGUGCUGAAAGCUGAAAAAGCAAUGCUAAACUGCUAAUAAAACAUGGAGAAAGGUAUAAAUGUUAAAGCUGUUGAAGGGGUGAAAAAGAAAUAUAAGUUGGAUAAUAGUUUAAUUGGUUGAAGGACAAAUAGUAUGAAUAUGCUCUAUAAAAGGAAAUUUUAUUCAUGCUGAAAGAGGCUAGAAAAAUGUCUAAAAUUGCACAAAGUUUGAAUGAAGAAGGAAACUGCCUUUAAAGGCAGGAAGGUGAGAAGUGGCAUAAGUUUAAGUUGUAGUACUAGAAGAAGUAUGAUAAGAAGUCAAGUCGUGAUACUAGUAGUCAUGUCAGCAGUAGAAGUAGAUUGAGAAUAAAAGAAGUACAAGUCAAAGUAGUAAAGAAAGUAGAAAUAGUAGCAAUAGCAGCAGUAGAGAAAGUAGAAAUAGGAGCAAUAGCAGUUGAAGUAGAGGGGAAAGUUCUAGUUUAAUUGACAUAAGUAGUUGUAGUACUAGAGGUAGGAUUUUGUUUGAAGGACAGAAUAAUGCAUAAAUAUUAAAACUAAUAUAAAACAGGGAAAAUUUUAUUAAUUAAAAAUCCUCAAGUAUCAGACAGUUUUUAAGUAUUAGGUUUGAAUCAUUUUGAAUGAGUUUAAAUUAGUUUGAAAAAUUAAAUGAUAAAUUAUCACUGAGUGACUUUAAAAUGUGAAACAUUUAAAUGAAUAUAAAUCCUAAAUACACCCCAUAAUGUCCUCAAUGAGCUUAAAUUUUAAAGCCCUGAAUGGUUUCUGUAGGUCAAAGGUCAUGUGAGGAGAUAGGGGCUGAAGGUUUUUCAAGCGCUCUAGGAAAGGGUUUUAAGUGUCAUCCCCAGUGCUAUGUGUACUGAGCCUGGCUUCAUGUGUCUCAUAUGGCCAUUAGAAGCAGCUUUCCAGUCAGCUGUGUGUCUCCAGGUGCACAAAUUGGUUGCCAUGGGGACCUUGGAUGAAUAACUAUAGCAGGAGAAAGAAGGCUUGAAGCUAAGGAAACAGGACUCCAAGUAGGCCCUGACGCUCAUCCUCUGUAUAAAUUCAUAAGGAGCUUGUGAGAAUACAAGAUUUUGCUGAACACAUUAAUACAAUUUAUUAUCACAAUCCUCAAAACACCCCAUAAUAUCUUCAAUGAGCUGAAUUUUUGAAGCCCAGAAUGGUUUCUGUAGCUCAAAGUUUGUGGGUGGAGAUAGGUGGCGAAGCAGACACAUAUUAACUGUGUGUACAAGCAGCUGAACUGCAAGGUAGACCUCAUAAAGCAACAAGUACAAGAAUGUGUGUGUGUGUGUGUGUGUGUGUGUGUGUGUGUGUGUCUCGUUAAUGACUGCAUCCUAAACAGCUGUGAGAUCAAAGGCAAAUCACUGACCUACUGUUUGAAUGACAAGCAGCUGAACAGCAGAGGAUUAGAAGCCUGUGAACUUCUUCACAUAGCGUGAUUUCCUUAAGUCCCAGAAUGAAAAUAAGAACAUCGUACGAAUCCUCCGUCCUUCAUGAACACAAUGAUGUGUUUUUCAUGUCUGUACUCCGAAAAAUGAGGCCACAACAGCGAGUUAAAAAAGUCUGAGCCUGAGUGACGAUAAGGAUUUUCUUGGAGAAGAAAUACAUUAGGGCCAAUGGGGAGAUAUUUGCGCCUAUCUGGACAGUUGGUCACCUGCUGGCCAAGGGGUACGAUUUAAUGAUUUGAAACCUCUUUUGUGAGAAGCAGGACACAUAUACCUCCAUUUUGAUGUAUUAUUUGUGUCAGUGGAGUGAGAUUUGUGGGCGUGGGAGCGAUAUAUUCGAGCGAGGUUCUGUCGAUCAGAGACGAGGUCUGCACUCUAGCUGAUGACAUCAUCACUCUAAACUCUCCAAUACACACCCAUUAUAAAGCUUGAAAUUUGCUGAAAACCACAAGUUGCAUAAAGCUAAAUUGUGGAAGAACUGUAAAAGAUAUCAAAAAACUGAGUACAACUAUAAUAGUCGACAAGUGAAUGAACAUUUUAAAGCAAAAAUGAGGUCUCUAGGUGAAAGUAUGCUGAAGUUAUAAGGUCUAGAAGGUGGAAGAAUGAAAGGAAGAAGUUGAAGAUUUCCCCAUUGACUUCAAUGUUAAAAUUUUUGCACAAAAAGUUAAAAAAAACAAAAAGUAUAAAGGGUAGAAAGAAAAAAAAUACACGCAAUAAUGUCCUGAAGGAGUGGAAUAGUUUAAAGUUUGAAUGGUUGAAAUCGGACAAAGUUUGAAGGAGGAGAAGCG